rnacentral:lncRNA from 1 species
UAGGGUGACAUUGACUUCAUUCCCUAAAAUGUAGGGUGAGAAACUCCCUUACGAAAACAUGAGAAAAAUAAAUACAUUGAACAGUUUACAAACAUUUUGAUGUGCAUUUGCAUAAUUGUGAUUUGUAAAGAUCAUUCAUAUGUAUGUUUAUCUAAAGAACAUAAAUUAAGAAUAAAAAGAAUUUGAAUUAAGUUGGUUGGUGGGGUUUAAAAUGGAAAAAGAAAAAAAUGUUAGUUUAUUUAAGAUAACAUAACUUAAAAGUGACAAAAAUUCUUACCCAAAAGAAAAAAAAUAAGGUUAAAACCAUCCACGACAAUUUCUAAAUUAUAGGUCUUGAAGUUUGAACAUUCGCCGUUCACAAAUCUAAAUUGGGGUGUGAUACCUUUUUUUACUUCUCUCACUCUUUUAAUUUUCGACCGUCGGAUCAGAUGAAUUAAAGAAGAUCAAAAGACAGAAAUUAACAAGAGGUGUGGGAGAAGUAAAAAUGAGUGUGUGUAUAGCACACCCUAUCUAAAUUAUGCCUUUUGGUGGAUCUAAAUAUUAGAUUUUGAGUCAGACGUGUUGAAGUUGAUCAGAGUAGGUUUGAUUUUCUGUUCCCUCUUUUGAAGUUUGGAAGUGAAGUCGUAUGAAUGUAGCUAACCUUCUUCGCCUUACGUGAAACCGCACUAAUGGGUUGGUUUUGCUUUUAUUGAGAAGACAUCAUCCAAUUUUAUGUAAUUUCCCAUCUUUUGCACUUUGAAUUACCUCUUUUUUUUUUAUUUAUUUAUUUAUUUUAUUUAUUUAUGUUUUGAAGACAAAAAUGAAUUGGUGCGAAGGGAUGGCCUACCACUUCAUUAUUGAUGUGGUUAUCUAAGCGUUCAUGUACAUUUUGUUUUUUUUUUCUCCAUAAAUUAUUCGUAUUUUUUUAACAAGGAUAAAUUAUUCGUAUUUAAAAGUUUGUGAAUUUUUAAUUUUAGUAGUUAAUAAUUGUUACAAGAAUUUGACUCUUACUCUAACAUUUCUAUCAAAAUUGAUUCUCAAUAAAAAAAACAAUGGUCAUAAACUCGAUGACAUACAAGAAUCUCUAGUUAAGAAAAAAAAACUUGAAAUUUUUAUUAUUUGACAAAAAUAAAAUUGAAAAGGUUUCUUGUUAAAUGUCUUCAACAUGCAUUUGAGAUUUGAUAUAAUUAUUAUCUUAAUUUCCUUUGUCGCCUGUGUAUUCUUGUUAAUUGUUAUACUAAUUAACGAGAAAUAAAAGUCCAAAAUUAAAGUAACAUUGAUUAAACCAUAAUGUUCAGAUAUUUGUAUACUAAUUUUCCAUUGGAAAUGUGAAGCUGCAUGUGUUCUAUUGCCGACACUCCUUGAACCAAUUAUCCUUUGAGAUCUUUUUCAUCUUUCUUUACAUUGUUAGUAUACUUUUGUGUUUGGGGGAAGAGAACAAAGCCCUCACCGUCAGUCACCAUGCAUGUCACUUUACUAUUUUUUUUUACGUUGUUAGUGGGGGUGGGGUGGGGGGUGGGGGGGUGGGGGGAAGAGAACAAAGUCCUCACCGUCAAUCACCAUGUAUGUCACUUUACUAUCUUUCUUUACGUUCUUAGUGGGGGGUGGGGGUGGGGUGGGGAGGGGGGGGAGAGAGAACAAAGCCCUCACCGUCAGUCACCAUGCAUGUCACUUUACUAUCUGUCUUUUACGUUGUUAGUGUGUGUGUGGGGGGGGGGGGGGGGGGGGGGGGGGGGGGGGGGGGGGGGGGGGGGGGGUGAAGAGAACAAAGCCCUCACCAUCAGUCACCAUGCAUGUCACUUUACUAUCUUUCUUUACGUUGUUAGUAUACUGCAUGUGUUCUAUUGCCGACACUCCUUGGACCAAUUAUCUUUUGAGAUCUUUUCCAUCUUUCUUUACGUUGUUAGUAUACUUAGGGGGUGGGGAGCCGAAGAGAACAAAGCCCUCACCGUCAAUCACCAUGCAUGUCACUUUACUAUCUUUUUUACGUUGUUAGUAUACUUAGAGCAGUUCCAGCGUGGGAACCCUCCUCCCAGGCAAUACACUAUGCUAUCCACUCAAUGAACAGUAACUGCCUUAAUAAACAGUAACCGUUUUUUGCAUCUCCACAGUUACACUUUAAUAGCCCUAACAAUAGGCAAUAAAAUAAUAGUUUUAUUUAUUUAUAAAAUAAUACCAAGAUAAUUAAAAAAAGACAAAGCAAAGAGCAGCAUAUGACUCUCUCUCUCUGUUGAAAUGAAGACCACCAACACAGCCACCACAAACACAAAGCUUAUCCUCCUCCACCCCUAAGCAAUCCACAAACAGUGGAAGCCACCGCCUGUGGCUCUUCUUCUUCUUCACCUUCUUCACCCUCGCAUUCACCCUCACUCUCAUCAUCACCACCAUCCCCCAAACCCUCCCCACCUCCUCCCUCACCCCCACCUCCGUACUCCCCUUCCCGCCCGUCGUCUUGGACGCACUUCUUCACUAUGCCAUUUCAUCAUCAAACACCUCGUCAGCACCCCACAUGUCCUCGCCGGAACUCACAUCCAUAUCCUCCGCCCUCACCCGCCUCUGCGCACCCAACUGCAAUUUCCUCUUUUUCGGCCUCACCCUCUAGAACCUAACAAAAAAAUUAAAAAAUUAAAAAAGGCGUCUGACAUCAGCUAACGUCAGAACCACCUCAGGUGCUCGGGCCAGAACGAAUCCACGGGCCUAGAGCUCGGCCUGCUCGGGCUCCCUCGCCAGCCAACGAUGGACUUCCUCCCUGGGCAAUCAGGUCUUGUGCUGAAGCAUGUCCAUCAAGCAAAAGCUCCCGCUGGAGCUGCUCUUAGGGGGGAGCUGAAGAGAACAAAGCCCUCACCGUCAGUCACCAUGCAUGUCACUUUACUGUGAAUAAAAAGAAAAGCUGGUAGUUCAACUAAUCUCAUAAAAUUUGUCAAUUUUCAAUAAAAAAAAAAGAGGGGGGUUAGUCCUAAGUUUUCUUGAAACAUAAGUAUUGUUGUGCAUCAUAUUAGGGUAUAUACUACACUUACUUACCACAUAUUUGUAUUAUCUAUCUAAUAGAAGAAAUGGCACGUAAGGCCGAUAGCGGCCCCUAGAAAUUAAAGUCUUGCAUGGAACUCAAUUGUCAGAGAAGUCGUUUGAGUGCCCUCACUUUUGCGAUUACUACUACUACUAAGAAUCUUGUACCACUAUAUGAAAAUUUAUUAAAUGACGAGAAUAACUUGUAUGAAAUAUGUAUACUGUCAUCAUGAUGUCUCAAUUUCAUAAUGUAAUGUCGUAUGAAAGAAAAUUUUGCACAUAACAAUUUAUUAGACAAAAACAUCAUGUGAUAAACAUAUUCGACGUAAGUCUUCUCCGAUAAUUUAGCCAUGGUACCAUGAUGACAUUUCAACUUUUAUCUUUGAAAAAUAAGAGUAUAGGACCCCAUUUCGUCUUGACCUUUUCUCAAAAUACUGUACCAUUCUUUUGUCCGUGAGUCUCUAUUGUGGUCAGCAUACAACAGCUGUUAUUAAUUACUGUAACCACAUACUCGAGUUGACAUCGAUCAUUCCUGCCAGUUGCCAGACAAAAUUAAUGGAAACUUAGAUUGUUUUAACUGUACGAGAUAUUUUCUGAGUGUGUGUACUUUUAAGUUUUAAUCCAUUUUAAUUUGUGUCAUUUUUUUAUAAACAAAUGAUAUUAUUUAUAUUUAAAAAGAAUAUGAGUUUAGUCUCAUAAUGAGCUAUCAAUAAUAUGGUUCAAAUUCGUCUUUGACAAUAAUCGAACUUGAGACGAUUCAAAUUCGCAUUUGACAAUAACCGAACAUGUGAUCUAUUACUUACAAGUGCAGAGGAAUACCACUAGAUCGUAGUAUUAAAUGAUAAUUGAAUAUGUGUCAUUGAAUAAUUAAGGGAGUGAAAAUUCUAUGUGUAUAACUAUAAGGCGUGGGUCGGAAGAAGGAUUUUAUAUCGAUAGCGUCGAUAUCAGUAGUGUCAAUAAUUGUAUCGAUAAUUAUGGUGUACUAAUAACUAUACAUACGUUGACAUAUAUUUUCAUCAGUACUUGUGUUGAUGUACAAAACCGGAAGUCUUGGAACAACGUAAAUCCGACCGUGAAUCUACAUGUAAUGUAAAUAACAUAAGAUGUAUCGUGGUUCACCCCAAGGUUUGGGCUACGUCCACACUGAUAUUGUAUUUAUCUGAGAGGUGAGGGAGAUAACCUCUGAAUAUGAGAGGGGAUUGAGAGGGGUGAGAAGGCUUCAUAAAUGGCCUCCUCUAAUUGUGAGGGUGAUGGGUCAUUUUAUAGAAUAAGGACUUCUCACUUAUUACAUAUUUGCCCAUUCCUUUAUUACAUAAUUACAUUUAAGUCCCCUGAGUAUUUAUACGAGGUCUAAAUACGAGGCCCUAAAUAUGGUAUAAACAGUAGUCCCCCAAGUCUUCAGUCAAGAGAGUCUUUUGGCUGGAGACUUGAAAUUCAGUCCAUGUCCAUGUGUGGGCCGAAGUAACUAAAUGUUGUCUUGAACUGAUGUUCGAUAUGAGGCGGUGCUCAAUCUGAAAUGAUGCUCAACUAGAAGUAGCAUAUGUUGCAAGGCUGCUCGGCUUGUGGUUUAUGUUGCCUUGGUUGACUCGGCUUGUAGCGCUUGAAGGUGAGGGAGUCCCUUUUAUAGAAUAAGGGUUCGCUCAUCGAUACAUAAAUGAUGGGCUAGAGUUGAUGCUCGCGGCGAGGCGGUUGCUCAGUAGGCGGCGAUGCUCUCUAAUGAUGGUGAGGGAGUCCCUUUUAUAGAAUAAGGGUUCGCUCCUCAAUAUAUGAAUAAUGUGCUAGAGUUGAUGCUCUCUAAUGAUGGUGAGGGAGUUCCUUUUAUAGAACAAUGGUUCGCUCCUCGAUACAUAAAUAUGGGCUGGAGUUGAUGCUCGCGGCGAGGUGGUUGCUCAGUAGGCGGUGAUGCUCUCUAAUGGUGGUAAGGGAGUCCCUUUUAUUAAAUAAGGGCUCGCUCCUCAAUAGAUGAAUAAUGUGCUAGAGUUGACGCUCUUUAAUGAUGGUGAGGGAGUCCAUUUUAUAGAAUAAGGGUUCGUUCCUAAAUACAUAAAUAAUGGGCUAGAGUCCCCCACUGCUUUGUUCCCCUAAUACUAAACAUCUGAAACAGAAGAUUUUAUUUCAUCACUAACGUUUAUUCUUUGGGCUUCUCAUUUGUAACAGGAUACCGAUGUUGUGUGGCUAAGGGACCCCUUCAAAAAACUAAGCAAGAACGAAACAGAAGAUUUACAAAUGAGUACAGAUAUGUUCUUCGGGGAUCCUUGGAACGCAAGUCAGUUGAUCAACACUGGCUUCUACUACGUCAGAUCCAAUAGCAAGACCAUAGCACUGUUUGAUAGAUGGUACACCUCCAAGGACAAUGCCACAGGACUGAAAGAGCAGGAUGUCCUAUUGAACUUAUUCCGAGGGGGUAUUACCGGGGAGUUGGGACUUAGGGUAAGGUUCUUAGACACCCUCUAUUUCAGUGGUUUUUGCCAAAACAGCAGGGACUUCGGGCAAGUGAGCACGGUCCACGCCAAUUGUUGCCGGAGUAUUGUCGCCAAAGUUAAGGACUUGAAAGCCGUCCUCCGGGAUUGGAAACGGUUCAAGAGGUUCAUGUCCCACAAGAGGAGUUCUGGUACUAGUACGACGAGUUUCCAAUGGACUGGGCACUUUGGAUGUUGGAAUUCCUGGGCUGUUCCCAAUUAACUCUGGUAAUGCAACUCAUAAGACAUGAAUUUUUCUUUUUUUUUUUUUUUUUUUUUUUUAAAGAAGACGUUAGUAAAGAAGGAGAAGGGUAAAUCAUACGAGAAGGAAAUAGUUUUCUAUCUUAUUUUUAGAAAGUUCAGGUGAAGGAAGGGAAUAAUUGAACAGUGUCGUUUAAAAUUUGAGGAUAAAUGCUCUACCAAUAGAGUUAUAUAUGCCCCCACAAAGUAGUUCGAUAAAUUCAAAUUUAUGUCUCCUUAUUUUUUUUUUUUCUUUCAAGAUUAUCAAAAUAAAUCUGUAUGCGAUUCAAAGGUAUGUUUCAAAAAAUGUAAGUAGCAUAAAGGAUUUAGAAUGUCUUAAUAUGGGUUUUCUUAGCAUAUCGUGUAAUUUUUAUUAAUUGGUUUGAACUCAAAUGGCGCACAUUUAUCAAUCAUAUUGUACGGUUCAUAUUACUAAUGUGAUUCUUGUCAAAUAUUGUAUGAAUAAAUGUUGAAAUAUUGCAUUUUUAUUUUGUGGUUGGAGCACAUGAGUACUACCAGACCUUCGCAAAUUGAACUUUUUCUUCAUUAAGGUUUUGUAAGAUCUAAAAAUAAAGUAAACUGUGGAUCUCUCCCUUAAACUUUCACCUAACUUUUAAUUUACCCCCUAAACUUUUAAUUGGAAAAUCAAGGACUUAAACUAAUUUUUUGGUUGAUUUCCCCCUUGCUGUUAGUUUUUCAUUCCUUUUCCAUCCAUAUUUCUGUUAAAUGAAAUCAUGUGCACAACAUAUGAGGGUAGUUUGGUCGCUUCAUUAUUUUAAAUAAUUGAAAACCCUAGAUUUCUAAAAUGCCUACCUGUGCAAAUCUGUGUUAUUCUAUAGUUUUUGUGUCUGAAGGUCUAGCGAAGUGUUGUUUUUGUUCUCCAAGGAGAGUCAUGUGAUGUGCACGUGAUAAGAGUUAACAUUAAUUUGAAUGAAAUCUAUGGAAAAAUAACGGUAGGGAAAAUCAGCCAAAAAAAUAGUUGAAGUCCUUGAUUUUCCAAUUUAAAAGUUUAGGGGGGUAAAUCAGAAGUUAGCUAAAAAUUCAAGAGGAAAUCGGCAGUUUACUCCUCAAAAAUAUUAAAAUGCAUACUCUUGAGAUAAAAUGGUGUAAAAGUUUGUAAAUAUUAAGUGUUCAUUGUUGAUCAUGUAUUACUUUAAGAGUUGCUUUUACAUUUUUUUCUUUUUAUUUUGUAUUGCAUACUUCAAAAGUUGAAAAUACCAUCCGAUAACACUCAACGAACUUCAUUUCAAGUUAUUUACCUUUUUUUGUCACUUAGUAUUAAAGUUUAGUGAUACUUUUUUCCAUUUAUACGUAAAAGGUCUUAAGUUGGAUUGUCACAAAAAACGAAUUCAAACUAAAUUAAUAUAGCUAGCUCGUCGUGAGGUUUAACCACUCAUCCACCAAAAAAGUUAUAUACCGUCCUUAAGCUCUCUAAAGUUCUCAUUUUUUAAGGAUCUUUAAUUUUAACCCAAUCAAAACCUUUCUCAAAUUUGAUAUAUUUUGGAAUAAGUAGUCCAGACUUUAGACUUUGCAUUGCAGUUUUUGUUAUGUAAUUAUGAGGAUACAGACUUUGCCUCAUAGUUUCUGUCUUAUUGUAGUCGAACUAGUCACAUCUUAUGUUGAAUUUUAAAAUGAGUAUCGACUAUUUUAAUUAUUCUUCUCAUUUUUUGACUUCAUCAUAUGCCAAGUUUGUGAUGCAAAUUUUGUAUACGACUGAUUUGACAAAAUUUUACCUACAAGAGAACAAACAUUGUUAGUCUAAUUGACAAAUACCUCGAAAUAAAUUUGGAAGGUGUGCACCAAAGUGUAUACGAUGCCUAAGUAAGAAAAGUUGUAAAGAGAAAAGAGAACUUAAAAGACUUCUGAGUAGUAAGUGGUUACUAUGGUUUUCUCUGUUUAACCUGACUAUUUAUAGAGAUCUGAACCCUAGUAGGUAACUGGGAGGGGAGGUUGCAAACCAUACUAGGCAGUCUUUGAUGGUGCAUGUCAGUCGUUAUAGUCAUGCCAGCUAGUAAUCCUGAAGAUCCCUGUUGUAGGGCGCCUAGCGUAUUGGACACCCAAGGAGAGACUCCGAAGGGUUAGCUUCUUGCCACCAUUGGGUUGGGUAUGGCCCGAUGGCAGGACAUAAUAUGGGCUUGAAGCACCUGUGAUAUGGUGGUGGCCUAAAAGCCUAUUACCCAUAGAGUAGACUAAUGUCACAUUCCCUUGAGGUAAUAUGUGUAUGCUCAAGAUGUUAAGACUGUCAUAGUGAGUAUAUAGUCCACAUGGUAAAACCGUCAUAGGGAGUAUAUACUCCACGUGCCCUCCUAUUAGAUGUGAUUAAUUUAUGUUUCUAUAAAUACCCCACAUAUGCUUGAGUUUAAGUGGGAAACAAAAAGAGAUGUAGUUCCUAUUUGUAGAUUUUUUUUUUUGUCUUUCUUUAAGGAUUUAGCUUAAAUAAGAGAUAACCCUUGCUGGAAUUCUCACAGAUUCCUUACUUUAAAAUUCAGGCUUUGCGUAGAGAAUUCAUAGAGAAAAUUUCAAGUAUGAAAAAUUUCCCCCUUCUUCUUCCCGUCCUCGAUGAUGUUGCCUCAACUCAACAUGCCUAGUCUGUUGCUGCUUGCUGUGCGUGCUGAAGCGCGCAGGUGAAGCCGGAUAACUAUGGAGUUAGGGUGCGACUUGAAUGCGACUCAUUGUGCAAUCGGAUCACGAGGAAAUCGUAGAUAUGGUCCCUUAACUUUAACUUAAUUGGAGCAAUGAUCCCUCAACUAAAAAUCCAUUACCAUUGGUCUCUCAACUCAUCAAAACGUGCAGCUAUGGUCCCUCAACUAAAAAUCCAUUACCAUUGGUCCCUCAACUUUAAUUCAACUUGAUAAAUGGUCCCUUAACUUUAACCCAAUUGUAGCAAUGGUCUUUCCAACAUAACUCGUUUUGACAAAAAAUUUGAUGUAGUUGACGAAAAGGACUAUAAUUACACACUUUGAUGAGUUGAGGGACCCUAAUUAUAUAAAUGGUUAUUCCAACAUAAUUUAUUUUGACAAAAUUUUGACGAAAUUGAUGAAAAGGACUAUAGCUACACAUUUUGAUAAGUUGAGGGACAAAAUGGUAAUGAUUUUUUUAGUUGAGGGACCAUUGCUACAAUUUACUCAUCGGACCACUAAUUGGGUCGGUUCGGCUAUAGAAUUUUUUUUCGAAUUUGACUGUUCUUCCGAAUUCAAUCCAACAUCAAUCCAUCUCCAUCAUUAUUAUCAACAAAAGCCAUAUUGGAUUAAAUUAAGAUCUUGUGAGCAAUUUUUGAAAUUUCUUCGUUUCUUUGGUAGGUAAAGCAAGAUGUUGUCUUCCAAGAAAUCAUGGAAAUCAUACAUCACAAAGAUGCGUGACAUCAAGUUAGAUAGAUAGAUGGACAGUUUCCACUUCAUUUCAUAUUCUAGUCGAUGUAACUAUGUUUGAGUUUUCAACACAUUACUUCUUAAUGUCAGCUCUUGUAUAGAAUAGAUUCUGAUCAAGCGGAAAAAGCCCUAUGUUAUUAAUAAGCUAGCACGCCCCUUUCUUUCUCCAAGUCAAGUUUCUCACUUGUUAGUCUUACCCUUACCUUUAUUUAUGGGAUAUUUGAAGAAUCACAUGUUUGGAAGUUAAUCAAACCCCAACUCUCUCAUUUCACACCCUUAUUAACAGUGCUAGGGUUAUUGAUAAACCCUGCGCAAAUGUCCUAUUCUUCAACAGACUAUCACCUGGGGCAAUGUAGAACCUUGAUUGAACCUGAAGCAGCACACUACAUUGUAGACUUUUAUGAAAUAGGAUGCAUGUGAGCGGGCAUUUCAAAUUUUUUGUUCAGAGGCUGGCUAUAUAUUUCUAACGUGCCCUAGGUCAAUUGUGACCUGAUUUCUACUGCCUUCCACCAAUGCCGCCACCAUCACCACAUACAUCAACCUAGCCACCAUGGCAACCAACAAUUCCCUUGUUUGAACCACCAUCACUCCCACCACCCCAAUAUGUUAAUUGCAUCCAAAACCUCUCACUAUCAAUGCUACCACCACCAACCUUCACCAUCAUCGUCAGCGCCACCACCACUCUGCUACCAUUACCACUCUCUCCACCACUCCCACCACCAAUGUCGUUUCCCUUCCCACAUUGCCACCAUUUAUACCCUACCAUCAUCGCACUGUCAUUGUCAUCACUACUACCACUAUCACCAUCACCACAGGCACCCUAACCAUCGUGGCCACCAACACCAUCCCUUAUGCAACCACAAUUUCAUCGUCACCAUCGCCACCAGCUUCAAAUUUAUACUACAAUACAUUAUUAUCAAAAUCAAAAUUACCGUUAGACCUACUCUAACCCUUGGAGUAAAACUCAAAUUUUAGGUUCUAAACUUACUUCAACCCUUGGAGUAAAACUCAAAUUUUAGGUUCUAAACUUACUUCAACCCUUGGGGCAAAUAUGAGUUUUAACCAAAAGCUCAUUUUUGAGGCAAAUUUAGCCCAUGAUUCCCCUGGGUUAGUGGGGCUAGGCCACCAUAUGUGUGUAUUUUUUGUAGUUUUAUAUUUAUAAAUUCAUUGAAUCCAACGAUUAAGAUCUAAUAUAAUCGAAUCCAACGUUAAAAGAAAAUAUCUAUUAAAUCCAAUAGCUAACGUAAUUAAAAAAAAAUUAUGUGUUUCAUAUUCUUUCAUAGUGUUCCACGAGUUUCAUAGUGUAGGUUUGGUGAUUUUUUAAUAUUCAUCGGAAUCUAAAUAUUUUUAGUUUAAAAUGUUUAUAAAUUAAAUUAAGAUAAUCUACAUAAUUUAAAAAAAAUUACUUUAAGAAAAAAAAUAUCCUAAAUUUAUUCUUUAAUAAUUUCGGGCUAAAAAUUUAACCCAUAAUGGUGAGAGGAGAAAAACUGACACACCCCGACCCGGAAUGUCCACUAAGACUUUGAAUCGAGCUACACUGACCGACACCUGGGAGGUGACGAAGCCAUACAGUGUUAUGAUGUGGGAAAAUGUGAAUAAAAACUUAAGAGUGCCUAAAUACCAGAGUGCAUAGGUGAGCGGGAAUGAACCCACUUCACACAUGACGUUAGAGCAUAAGUAAGUACAAUUAAGAAUCGUACCCUUGAAAGAAUCUCCAAUACUAAGAAUUGCCACGAACCUUCGACGAUAAGAAAGCUCAGCUAAUAAAACCUGGAUGGUGAAAACAAGACAAGGGUGGGUGGCCUUAGAAAUAACAUUUUAAUAGAAACCGUAUAAAACAUUAUAACCCCUCGUUACAACACUUAUAUAGUUUCCAGAAAAAUCAUACCACGUAUCAAUGUGAAAUCAAAAGUAUAUCAACAGUAAAUCCAUAAAUAUACCACAACACCGCAUUUUAUCAGCAAUAUCAAUAAUCAUGUGAUUAAUAAUCCAUACUAGCACGCAAGUCGGAGUCACCUAUAGUGACCUGUACGACUGCACCCAUAUCUCAUCAAUCAAUGCUAGCACAUAAGUCGGAGUCACCUAUAGUGACAUGUACAACUUAUCCAUAUCUCAACAAUCAAUGCUAGUUCAUAAGUUGGAGUCACCUAUAGUGACUUGUACGACUUAUCCAUAUCUCAUCAAUCAAUGCUAGCUCAUAAGUUGGAGUCACCUAUAGUGACCUGUACGAUUUAUCCAUAUCUCAACAAUCAAUGCUAGCUCAUAAGUCGAAGUCACCUAUAGUGACCUGUACGACUUAUCCAUAUCUCAUCAAUCAAUGCUAGCUCAUAAGUCGGAGUCACUUAUAGUGACUUGUACGACUUAUCCAUAGCUCAUCACAUAUCCCUGCACACGAGUCAGAAUCAUCUAUAGUGGUCUGUACGACAGGAUUUUGUGUAAAUAAAUACGCUUCAGUGCUACGAUCACGUGAAGACUGUGAGAAUAAACGCGGGUCACCAACGAGUUGGAACCAUCUAUAGUGGUCUGUAUGACAUGAUUGUGCACCUACCUUGGAUCUAAGGUGAGCGUAAGGUGCGGGAGGUGAACAUCACGUGAAUGACUGUGCCUUGGCCACGGGCGGGAGCACUAACACCGGGGUGCAGGUUUAUGAGCUUUACUUGCAUCUAUUAUAUUAUGUACGCCUCAUGGGCAACCUGUACGACAGUGUCGGAGUUGCCUAUCAUUGCAAUAUGUACGACAAGGUCGGAGUUGCCUAAAACAUACACAUAGUCAUGCCAUAACUCCCUCAUUUCCACUAAUACCAUAAACUCACCUGAACUUACCUGGGUGUCCUGUGUUCACCUUUGCACUUCAAAACGUUCAAAAUAAUUACAAGCAAUAAAUAUACAUAUAAAUAUACCAUGAUGCAAUCUAAUACUCAAUCAUGUCAUAGCAUUUACAAUUAUAUAUAUAUAUAUAUAUAUAUAUAUAUAUAUAUAUAUAUAUGUAUAAUAUGGCAUAAAAUGCAUAAGCUGUAACACCCUACUCCCGAACUAUUUAUUUUCGGAAAUAAUAUGGCUCAACUAAACAUUAAUUUAACUAACUAUCAAUAGUUAGGAUUCUUUACUUCAAUUUCUCAAUCCUUCACACAAUGAUUUAUAACCAACAUCCCAUCACUAAAUCAUAAGGAUAAAUCUCACAUUUUCCACCAAUGUCCCUCACAUUGCACAAUUUCCCAAAGAAGGCUAUUGUCUCAAUUAAUUAGUCUCAUUUAUAGUAUGGCUGCAUCUAACGUCUCGUUAGACUGCCUACGUACCCUAACAGGGAUCAAGCCAUUCGUAGUUCGCAUUACUACUUCAAAGCAUUCACAGUAAUUAUAUGCAAUAAUCAAUUUAUAAACAUUUGUGGAAUUGUCAAUCAUAUAUAUAUAUAUAUAUAAAAUAUACGAUAGAAAGGAAAAGACCCACUCACCUGAGGUCCGCGCUACGACUCCCUAGCAUGCAUAUCGAGACAUCACGAACUAUCGUUGCCUAUGACCAAUUAUCAAAUCACAUCUCAGAGUUCUGACCGAUGGAAUACAUAAUUUACAUAAAACACAUCACUACGUAAUUCAAUUUGAAAGAUCUGCAUCACAUAUUUCUGAUCCGUUGCUUCCAAAGAUCCACAUUAUACUUUUAGAACAACAUCCUACAGUUUCAUUAAGAUCCAACGGUCAGAUCUCCGCCAAUUGCCAAAACCAAAUGGUGGUCAACAUUUUAUUUUAUGAACUUAUAAAUCCAAUUCGGAAAGAUCCGUACAUCAAAUUCCCGAUCCAUAAGUUUUUAUGGUCCUCAAAUAUUACGUACUAAUGUAUCAAAGUUUGGUGACGAUCGAACGGACGAAUCAUCGAUUCAUAUAAAUGCCAAGCGAUGUAUCAUAAUGAAACUAAGUUCAAACAAUCAAACCACAUCAUAUGGAUAUCAAUUAUGACAUACAUCUAAUUGAACUUAAAAGGACAUCGUCGGUCCACUGGCUAGGCCGUCGCCGCACGUGCCGCCGCGCGUGGUGGUUGGCCACCACGGUUCGCCGGAAAAUUCCACUAUUUCUAAAAAUUCUCAAAUUUUACAGAAAUGAAGAUCUUAAGAGAUGAACAACUUUCAUACCUACCACGAAGUCCAAAAGUGGACGGAAGAUGGUCAAUUUUUCCCACAAAGCCGGCGGUGCCUAAAACUUCUCGGCGUUGAUUCCUCGUCUACGGUGGACCAACGGGGUCAAGGUUGGUUGGGAUUUGCUCCUGGGAUGAUGGGCUACAAAGCCCAAGUGGUGGCAUAGGCCAUCGCUUUGCUGAUUUGUCAAAAAAUUGAAAAGAGUGGCCAGACACGGUUUUGAUGGGUCGGAUUUUGUGGCUUCGCCCCGCCACAUGUGGUGGUUUCUAAAGGUGGUUCUUGGGUGGGUUUUGUAGAGGGGAAUGAGAGCUUCAAGAUGGUCAUGGUGGGGUCAAAAAACUCCAACGGAGUUUGCCGGAAUCUGCCUUGGAAGAUGGGUGGUCGUAAUGGGUGUGGGUGUGGGUGCACAGAAAGCUGGGAGCUUUCCCUUUUUGGUUUUCCUUCUUUUCCUAAUUUCUGAUUGGGCUGUUGCCCUCUCCCUCUCUCUAAUUGGAUCAUUGUCCCUUUAAUUUAAUUGGUCCACUAUUCUCACCUGGUGGGAGUUCAAAAUUAACUAACAAGUAACCAAUUUCAAAUAUCCAUAACGAUACCGUUAUAAUCCGGACUCGCAAACGGCGACUACGCAAAUACGCCAAAAGAAUAAGUCAUACUUUUUUCUAGACGAUGGUCAACAUAAAUCAAAAUCAUUGCCUCUAAACAUUUUUGUCAAUUCCCUCGAUUAAAAUAAAUAAAAACGAAAUUUUAGGGACGGAUUGUCACAACAAUUGUUUUUGGGUUAUAAAAUUUAAAUUUUAGCCUAAGGGUUGAAGAUGAUUUUAGUACUAGACAUGUUUCUAAUAUUUUCUUUUUGAAAAAUAAUUUUUGAAUUAAACUACCACAAAUUUUCUAUUCAUAAAAUGCAAAAUUCUUUUGUUGUUUCGUUUUGUAUAAUAAAAUUCAUCAAAAAAAAAAAAAAUAUAUAUAUAUAUAUAUAUAUAUAUUUUUUUAAACUUUACGAAUUGCUUCAUACCAUGCCAAGUGUGGUAUGGUUAACUGUUUAUAAACGGUUAUGGGUAUGGGUAUAACCGUUUAUGCAAUUACCCAACGCAUAAAUAGUUAUGCGGGUAUGAAUAUAAACGGUUAUGGGCAAAUAACCGUAGUUACCCGCCCGUCAUAACCAAUGCCCAUCACUACAAGUGUCCCAUGUCCCCAACUCACAUUGUCCAACCAAUUACUAAUUCCCACGUGUCAAAUAAUUCACUCACACUAACAAUCCCUGUCCAAGUAUUUACACCCAAAGUACCUCCUUUCCUUUCGCAUAUAUAUGCCCACAAAUCCCUCAGCCUUAACCCGCAAGGUCGCAAUUCUAUCUCCACCUUUCUUUAAUUAGGGUUUUGUUUUGGUCUUCGUCUCCUCACUUUCUGUUUCUAGGGUUUUGUUCGAUUCGCAAUUACGCAAUCUAGGGUUUUCACUGCAAUUAUCUCUCUAUAAAUAGUAUACAUUGAAAUAUUUCAUCUUUCGGUUCGGAUCCUAUUAGAAUUCUGAUUCCUUCUAUUCUGCAACUGUGAUCGUGGAGUUAGGUUUUCUGAAUCGUUCCUUGUUUGAUUCUUGAAAAGGGUUUUUUAUUUUGGGUUUGAUUUGGGGAAUUUGUGGAGUUUUGGAGAAUUUGAUUGGGGAAACCAUGCCUCCGAGGACGGUGAAGAGAGGUGGGGCGGCGGGAGCGAAGAGGACGACGAGAGUCACCAGGGGGACGCACAAGGCCCAGAACCAGGUCCAGCCUGAGGCUCCAGAUGAGUUGGUGAAGGCCGAGGAUGCGGUGCCGAUGGUGGAAUCUAAAGAGGAUCUCAAUGUUGAAGAGAUUAAGGAGAAGCCAAUUGCGGCGGACAAGCUCGUGGCUGUCGAGGAGAAGCCAGUUGUUGAUGAAAAGGCAUCCGUUAUUGAUCAGUCAGGGCCUUCAGAGAUGGAAGUUGAAGCGAAAGCAGAGCAGAAAGGAUUAAAAAGUAAGUUUUGUUUUCAUUAUGUAAUUUUGUUGGGGCUUGAUUGAAUUAAGUAAUUUGCUCUUGAUUUUCCACUGCUCUAUGUUUUUGCAUGAUUUUAUAUAUGUUUUAAGGGACUGUGGUAAUAAUGCUUAAUCUUUUGUCUAUAAUGUGGUUUUUGUUGUGGUAAAAGGGGUAGAGAAUGAGUAACAUUUUCUCAAUCAAAUUUCUUGUAUAUUUAAUUUUCUGUUAUGUGGGAUGUUGUAUAGAGCUUAGGGAAACAAUAAAACCAACUAAGGGAAAUAAUUUAGAAAGAUUCCGAAGAAUAAAUGUCUACACAGAAAUCCAUUGAGGAAUACGUUUUUGUAAAUCUGGUAAUGCUUGCUCUUCCAUGCACUUUGGUGGCUUUAAAUAGAAGUGGCCAACUUGUUCUUUCAAGAACAAUUAGUUCUUGAGUGGAGCGUAGAAGUCGGUGUGAGCGUAGUGGAUUGUUAACUUAGUUCUUGCUCGGUUAUGUGUCAAAAAGUUGGUUAAUAUAUGGAUCAAGGAUGACAGUAUAAACAGUGUAAGCAUGGAUCAUACUCUUUCCUCUUUGUUUUUAGCUCAGACUGGUUUAUGUGAAGAGCAUAGACGGGAAGUUUAAACCUUCUAAGUGGGAUCAUACUGUUGUGACUGAGUUUUGGAUCAAUUUUGUGUUUAGACAUUGUUUCAUAUGCAAGCAUUAAGUAUAGAAUGACACUUCAGGCAUUGUAAAAGUAGAUCAUGCCUUUUUUUGGGGAUCCGUUAUGUAUUAAUAUAAUCAUGGUAUUCUUUGUACUGUGUUUAUCUGCGAUGGACAAGGACCGUCUUAAUUAAAUUAUGAACUCUGCUUGAUCAUAAUGUAGAACUUGAGUCUCUUUUAACUUAAGGUAUUGUCAACCGUAAUUUAUCGCAGAACAAGAUAAGGUUAAGGAGUCUAUAGAUGAUUAUGAAAAAGAUGAACAAUUAGAGCUGGAGGAUAAUGAAGCUGAGUAUGAACCUGAAGAAGAUGGUGGGGUUGAUUAUGAUGAGAAGGAAAUGGAACAAGAGGAUAUCCAGGAGCUCGGGGAUGAAGGAGAUGAAGAACCUGAGGAGAUUGUAGGUGAAGAAGAAGGUGAUAUGGCUGAGGAAGAGUUGGAAGAUGGCCACGAAGAACUCGAGGGUGAAGAGUUUGAGGAGCAUGCUAGCGAGGAGCAUGAGCAUGAGCAUGCAGAGAUGGUUGACGAGGAAGAGGAGCACCAUGAAGUUGUAAAGGAGAGACGGAAGCGCAAGGAGUUUGAAGUAUUUGUUGGUGGUCUAGACAAGGAUGCAAGUGAGGCUGAUCUUAGGAAAGCUUUUGCUGGUGUUGGUGAAGUUACUGAGGUCAGGCUGAUGAUGAACCCUCAGACUAAGAAGAACAAGGGAUUUGCGUUCUUGCGUUUUGCAACUGUGGAACAAGCAAGGCGAGCAGUUGCGGAGCUUAAACAUCCAGUGGUAAUCUUUGAUCCUUUCGUAGUUCGAGCAGAAACUGGUUUCUUCAUAUAUUAAAUUCUAUUCUCUGAAUGAUUGCAAUUCCAGAUUAAUGGAAAACAGUGUGGUGUUACUCCAAGUCAAGACAGUGAUACUCUUUUUCUGGGUAACAUAUGCAAGACAUGGACAAAGGAUGCUGUAAGUAUAUUGGCUUACAUCAUUUCAAAAUUCUCUGACUUAUCAGGAGAUGAUUAAAAAUUUCUGACUUCUUUUGAUGGCUGUGGUUUCAGUUGAGAGAGAAGUUGAAACAUUAUGGAGUAGAUAAUGUUGAGGGUCUGACAUUGGUUGAAGAUACUAACUAUGAGGGAAUGAAUCGAGGCUUUGCUUUUUUGGAAUUUUCUUCUCGUUCAGAUGCCAUGGAUGCUUUUAAGCGACUUCAAAAAAGAGAUAUUGUGUUUGGAGUUGAUAGGCCUGCAAAAGUUUCUUUUGCAGAUUCCUUCAUUGAUCCUGGUGAUGAAAUCAUGGCACAGGUAACGUAAAUUUUCUGCUAUAUUAUAGGAACAAUAGGAUUCCUGGAUGGGUUAUCUUUCUGAUGAUCUGUUCUUGUGUUUUGGUGUAUGAACGUAUACAAAGGUCCUUGUAACAUCAAUUUUUUCCAUGAGUGUAUGGAGUCCUGGAUAAAUUCUCUGUUGUGCUCUUUUUUUAUGUUAUGGGAGAUGAUAGAGUUACAAUAUGCCCAUUGAUGUUCUCUUGUACAAGUAAUUUUUCUAGUUUGUUGACAAAUUAGCAUAUAGCACCUGUAACAUGUUGAAUUAGAUUCUUUGGAGUUGUUUUUUGGGUAGCAUUAUCUUAAUUUCGUGUUACUUGUUUUCUAAAAUCUUGUUAAUCUUUUCUCCUCAAUUGACUAUGAUAAAGUUAGUUAAGUAUGGGAAAGCAAUUGUGAUUGUGUUUCUUUGAUAUAGUGUUAUUAUGCAGUUUAGAGGAGUUUAGGUGAUUGUUGGAGCUGCUGACUAAAUAUCUUGAGAUGCAGGUCAAAACUGUGUUUGUUGAUGGCCUACCUGCUUCAUGGGAUGAGGACCAUGUCCAAGAUCUUCUUAAGGAAUAUGGGAAUGUUGAAAAGAUUGAGCUUGCGCGGAACAUGCCCUCUGCUAAGAGGAGAGAUUUUGGUUUUGUUACAUUCGACACUCAUGAGGCUGCAGUUACGUGUGCUAAAAGCAUUAACAAUUCAGAGUUAGGUGAAGGAGACAACAAGGUGUGUUGGCUGGUAACAGUUAUUUCAAAAUUAGACAUUACCGAUGAAAGUAUUUUAUGUAUUGGCAUUUGUUGGACAUGAAUUUAUGAAUAAUCAUCGUCACUUUUAGGCGAAAGUCAGGGCGAGGUUAUCAAGACCGCUCCAGAGGGGUAAAGGAAAACAUGUUGGGCGAGGAGAUUAUCGAUCUUCUAGGGGGGUUGGACGAGUUGUUAGAGGUUCAUGGGGUCACCCAGCACCACGCCCUCUCCCUCCUAUGCGUAGUGGGUUAAGGGGAGUUGGAAGUCGAAUCCCACCAGCCAGUGUAAAGAGGCCUGUUGCGCUAAGAGAUAGACGCCAUGUGAUGUCAUCUUAUCCACAAAGAGGCAGGCCUUUGCCUCCUCCAUCUAGGUCCUAUGACAGGAGGCCACCUGGUAUGCAAUAUUUUAAUUUAUAAUGGCUAAUGGGUUGUGUGACAACUUUUAUCUUGUGAAUAAUAAUAUUCCUAUACUCUUUCUAACAGUUCCUGCGUACCCAAAGAGUAGCUUCAGGAGGGAAUAUAGCAGGCAUGAGGACCUUCCUCCUCCAAGGAGUAGAGCAGCCCCUGAUUAUGGAUCAAGGGCUGUUCCAGAAAGACGCCAAUCGUACAGAGAUGAUUACGCUCAGCGUGGUCCUGCCUACUCUGAUCCACCAAGAAGUACAUCUCGUACAACAGGAAGGAGAGCUUAUGUUGAUGAAGGUUACGGACAGCGGUAUGAAAGGCAUCCUCCCCCUCCUCCUCCUCCAAGUUACCGUGAAGGUCGUGCUCGUGAUUAUGACACUAUUUCUGGUUCAAAACGUGCCUACUCUGCACUGGUUAGUGUUAAUGACGUCAUUUUCUAUAGCUGGAAAUGUAAUUUACUUGGUUUUCUCUGGUAGGAUAUGAAAUAGGGCUUACAUUCUUCUUCCAUGUGUUCUAGGAUGAUGUUCCUCCCCGUUAUGCUGAUGCGGGCAUCCGCCAAUCAAGGGCACGGUUAGACUAUGAGUAUGAAAGUGGUUCGUCUCAAUAUGGUGAUGGCUAUAGUGACAGGUUUGUUCCUUGAAUUGUAACAUUAACUUUUUAUUAUCUCGUGUGGAUGCAGCAACUUACCUUUUGUUGUGUAUGAUAGACUUGGGAGAUCUAAUAUGGGAUAUGGAAGCAGCAGAACAAGUCAGGAUUCUCAUGGACUAUACAGCAGUCGUCAGGGCAUGGGCUAUGGAGGAGGUGCGAUUGUAAUUUCUGGUUAUCUGAUAGAUAGUAGUUUUAUUGUUGAAACCAUAGAAUUAAGGGUCUUAAGGUUUUUUAAUUUCUUUUUCAGGUUCUUAUGGUGGUAGUGACGUUGGUGGAAUGUACUCAUCCAGCUAUGGUGGUGAUUAUAUCUCUCGUGGCAGUGACGUAUGCACCUAAUCUGAUUUGAUUAAAUGAAAAUAAUAGGUGUUCCAUUUAGCUGUCUCAUAUAUCAUUAUAUCUUGAUUCUCUAUUGUAGGUUGGAGGUAGCUCUUACUCAUCAAUGUACUCUGGCCGUGGUGCGGGUGGAAGCAGUUAUAUGGGUUCAGGUGGUUCUGGCUCAUACUAUUGAGGUAAUUUAGAUUGUUGUGUUUUUCAUGUUUUGUUAAGUUUCAUGUGUGUGUAAUUAUGAGAGCGAUGCGUGUGUCAUUAUUACUAUUUUCCGGCUGGAGAUUUAUUUUCUUCCGAAGGCACGACAUCUCGUCUUUGGCUCUAAGAGGUCAUUGGUGAAAACAGAGCAAUAUAUGGUUACAAGUGAAUUUGUCUAUGGAACAGAUCUGACAUGAUGAAGAGGAUGCUGUGGGAUGUGGACUGUAUGAAGCUUUUUACCAUUAUGAUGCCUAGAGUUAUGGACACAGAAUUUCCCUAAGAACCUAUGUAUGUGCUGAGGAGCCGCCCUCUUAGAUUUCCAGAGAUUGGAUAUUGUGCCAGGCUGUAGUUAUUUUGCUGCAAGGAAACUCAAGAUAUUCGGAGAUGCAAGUGCUUAGUUUAUGACGUGUCUUCUACUUCAUCUACUAGAAGAACUCCACCUGACGGAAAAUUUGGAGUCCUGCUGCAUCCUUUGUUCGUAUGAAUAGAUAAGACUAUAACAAGAGAAAGAGGAUUUUCUUAAUGUGAUUAUAAGGUAUUUUGGAUAUUUUUAAUGCUGAAUCCUUUGGAAAGGUUUGAAUAAUAAAAGCCGUUUUGGCCGUUUUAGAUCGCUUAAUCAAUUCAGUUCCAUAUCGUUGAGUGGGUUAUCACGGAACUGAAGGCUAUAAGGAAAGAUUCAGCUUGCUUGGAAUUGUACGAGAUUGUGGUCCAAAAAGGUAGACCUGGAAUCUGUUGCCUGGUGUGUACAGUUUUAGUUACCGCGUGAUUUAAAUUUGCAUUUUUGACAUAUAUAUUGAUAUUUAAGGAAACAUAUUGGGAAAUUACAAAGAAGAAUGAGUAGGACUCUAGUUCAUAAAAUUAUCUUACAUUGCUUGCUAAAAUCUCGAUUGAAGUAUUAUUCUUAAGUUCCUUGCAACCUCUACCAAGAACUGUGAGAGUCACCUGAGAGCAAAAGUAGGACUGAAAAACACUGAAAGAACACUCUUGCUACUGUUAUCUGGAUUGCAGAAAGUCGGUAUUUGUAAAGAAGGGAUGCAAUUGGCAAGUAUUCCACUUUGUAGAAGCACGUCUUAAUGUGGAAUAUCCCAUACUAAGUGUGGGUGGAUCACUUUGGCACGUUCACGGAGUCUAAAAGUUGGUUGUAUCUUUACGAGCAAUUCUCGCAGAUUAAAAGCUUGUGGAACUUGGAGGUAACUAGUACCUGAGUUGAGUCCUUGUCCUUGUAUUGUUCAUUAGGGCUUGUUAUGGUCAAGAUAGCUUAAAUCUUCUCAAAUCCUUUCGAUCAACUCAUUUUGAUUGCUUUAGCGUAUCCAAGGACUAGUUGCUGGUUGGAAGUUGUUUCACUUGAGCGGUUUUACUUUGAUAUGCUUUUGAUACAUGCCAGUAUCCUAUCGAUGUUCGGAUGCAACUGAAUGCUGGAUUGAAUUUUAAUGGGGUGCCAUAUACUUUUUGUUAUUCGUGUUCACUAGUGAAAUACGACAACCUGAUUGUGUGGAAAACCUAGACAGUCCUCGUUGUAAUGGGCAACGUAUUGUAUUUGGUAUAAAAUUUGCAGGACUCUCUCUCUAUCUCUCUCUCUCUCUCUCUCUCUCUCUCUCUCUCUCUCUCUAGAUUGGGAUUGGGAUUGUGAUUGUGAUUGUUCUAAAGGAAGAAUGGUUGGAUGUGUUUUUUUGUACAGGUAAAAUAAGAAUUUAAUGAAUGAAACCUAAAUACCGCGCCUUCUGGUGCGAGUCAUCCAGUAAAAUGAGAAAUUCAUUGUCAUUGUAAAACUGAAGGACGUUAAACAUACUAGUCGUAUAUAAACCACAAUUUUUGCGCGUCUUGUACGCUUAUCUAGUUCUAUUUCGAAAUUUUGUAGUCAAGUUUGUAAUCGCUUCUAUUUUUGGAUUGUCCUCUUGGAAACCUUAACAAACCUUCGAUGGCUUAAUGUAGAGCAGCAAUUAAGAUUUGGUAAUAAACACUCCUGCUUGGGUUUUAGACGUAGGAAAAAGAACUGCUUUAAACAAUUGAAAAAAAAAGUAUUUAAGUAACAAUCUCUAAAUCGAACCUAAGAUCUCUCACUUACAAGUGAAAAGGAAUAUCACUAGACCGUAGUACUAAGGGACUGUUAUCUUAGAUGCAAAGCGUUCAUCUUCUAUAUAUAGGGAGCACACCAGUUUUGUGAAGCUUUUAUAAUAGGAAGCUUUAUAUAUAGAGAUAAAAACUUUCAUUAUAUUUUAAGGAAUUCCAUUAGUUUUUAAAUAUGUCAAAGAGAGACAAAAAUAUAAAAAUGACUAAAGCGUAGCCCAAAAACAUGGAAACAAUAUUUUAAAAUACCAGUCAUACCCCUAAGGCUUUAGGAUUGUUAAAAGAACCUAGCCUUCACAACUCCAACAAAACUAAUUGUGCAGUAAGCUCAAUCCAUCAUCAACUAUUUCUGCAGAAUUAGUUCAACCUGUCCUUAACAAUUUUUGCAGAAUCAGUUCCAUCUAUCCCAACCAUUUUUGUAGAAUCAGUUCAAUCACUCUUUGACCAUUUUUGCAAAUUUGUUCAACCCUUCAUCGAUUAUUUUUGCAGAAUCAAUUCAAUCGGUAUUCAACAAUUUUUGCAGAAUUAGUCACCCAUCCUCGAUUAUUUUUACAAAAUCAGUUCAACCCGUCAUCGACCAUUUUUGCAGAAUCAAUUUAAUUAGUCUUCAAUUAUUUUUGCAGAAUCAGUUCAACUUGUCAUUGAUCAUUUUUGCAGAAUUAGUUCAAUCAGUCAUCGACUAUUUUUGCAGAAUCAGUUCUACCCGUCUUCGAUUAUUUUUACAUAAUCAAUUUCACUUGUCUUCGACCAUUUUUGCAAAAUCAGUUCAACUGGGUCGACGUCUGCUACUUCAAGAUUAAGGACUUGGCCGAGAAGUUUGCCAUCCUUCACUUUGGUAUUUGCCCCUUUCGUUGGGACUUCUUUAGGGGUUCUUGAUUGCUCAUCCAUAUGGGUCUUUUGCUUCUCCUUUCUGGUUUUUUGUUUCUGCUCUGUAUAACUGUCAAUAAAGUGAAGCAGAAAAUAAAGUACAAAAAUUUAGGAAUUUGCACCUGCAACACGACUCAGACAUCGAAUCAAUGAAAGAAGAGAGAAAUUAGAACAAAAUUGAAUUGGGUGUUGGAGGCUUCUCGUCGAUUGCCAAUCUUUCAAGCUCUGCUCCAACUUCCUCUUCGGCCUAAUAUUAAGAGAGGAAGAAAGAGAAGGGAGGAACAGAUGAAGAGAUGGAAUUGUGAAAAGACUUUACCACUAUAAAUAGCACUUUUGUAACUGACACUCUAAAAAGAAAAAGACUAAUGUCAUCUUUUACAUGUAUUAACUUUUAUCCCUCUUAAAAUGUUUAAAAAAUAUUAUCUCAAUUUAAAAUUAACUUUCCAUAUGUGGACUAAACUUGUGAUUUUCGAAUUGCGUCUAACUUUUUCAUUUAUAAUUUUCCUAACUUAAAAGUUUGAAAUAUCAAAUUUACACAUGCAUUUGCCAAUGUAAAUAAUUUUCGAAGUGCCUCACGUGCCCUGCCCACUGCCCAAGUGUUAUACAAAUUAUUUUCCAUUUUUGACCUAGCUGGGAUCAACAGUGUUUUCAUCAUAUGACUAAGCUGUAAUUUACAAUAUUUUCUUAACAAAACUAAUGAAAAAAGUUUGAAAACUUUGCGUUUUAAUGAUAACGACAAAAUAAAGGGUAAAGUGAAUAGUACCAGAAUUGACUUUAAAAAGUGUACUUUAACGAAAAACUCCUAAUACUGUUCAUUUUUUAUACUUUUUAUACUUAAUUUUGUAUUAAGAUAGCAGUUUUUAAACAUUUCAAGAAAAAAUAAAACUUAAUACAUGUGUAAGAUGAUAUUAUUGGUUUUAUUUUUCUUUGAAGUGUGAGUUAACAAAAUGGCCUUUAUACAAUAAAUCAACCGUUGAGAUUUAAUUCUAGCAAAACAAUUGCAAACUCCAUCAUGCCAACCAAAAAGCUCCACCGCUUCCCUCUGCCAUCUUAUCCACUCAUAUGUUCCAUGGCUGCUUCUGCAUCAACCCAAAUGCUCUGUCCUCUUCCACCAUCCAUGUGGGUUCAUCGCCAUCUGAUAACCAGUCAGAAAAAUUGGUUGGUUUCUGACCUAUUAUCAUUUUAUUUCCUCUAAAUAGUAAAUUUAUUAAUUUUGUAAAAAAAAAGAGGAAAUUUUAACGAAAAAAAACUCUCGGUAAUGUCCACUCUAAUGAAAAAUUAUAUUUUUACACUAAAAAGUCAAUCAUAUACUAUUCAUUUUACCCUUUAUUUUGUUUUUAUCAUUAAAACUCAAAGUUUUUAAUCUCUUUUCAUUAGUUUUCAUUUUAAAGAAAGCUUUAAUUUUUUAUCAAACGAUAGAUUUUGUUAGUAAGUUAAUUAUUUUUCAAAAUAUAAUAAUAAAGCAUAAUAAUAUCUAAACUAAAUAAAAUUAAAACCAAAAACAAAAAGGUAAAAUAAUAUAAAAGAACCAUAUAAUGAAGGGUUGAUCUUCCCAAUUCCCAACAACAUAAAAGUUAUAGCUUAUUUCAAACUAUACCCCUAAUGUUUGGGGUCAAUUACAAAAAGGACUCCUCUUUUCAAUUUACUACUUAAGAUUCACAAACAAAUAAAAAUAAAAAAAAUUAAUACUUAAGGUUGUAAAGUUUUGGGGAACUGCCAAAUUAGGGCUAUAAAAUCUCCAAUUUUGGAGUCAUAUUGAAUCAUGCAAUAUUAUUUUGAAGCCAAUUUGAUUCUAGUAUGCCUUAUAAAGUAACGUAGGUGGUGUAUUUCAACAGUUCAAAGAGACAUGUGGUAAAAAAUAAAAAUUAAAAGUUCAAGUGGUAUUGUAGACAUUGAAAUUUUGGUGGCAUAAAUGUUAGCGCUUGCAUUAAGAUUACAUUUGUAAACAUUGAAAUUUUAGUGAAAUAAAUGUUGACCAUUGUGUUAAAACUACAACCUUCAUCCAAAUUCACCUACAACCCCCACCCAAAUUCACCUACAACAACCAAUCCAAAUUCACCUACAACCUCCACCCAAAUUCACCUACAACAAUCCAUCCAAAUUCACCUACAACCUCAACCCAAAUUCACCUACAACAAUCCACCAAUUCACCUACAACAUACACCAAAACAAAUGGAUGGUGGUGGUUCAUUCUCAAGGCCUAUAAAUAGGCUCCUCCAUCAAAGAAUCAAAGGAGGAUUUUAGAUACACUUUCUCUACUCCCAAAUUGGAAGAGAAAUCACACCACACCAAAGCCUUGAAGCCUCGAAACUCUGAAGCUCUCAAGUAAAUCCCGAAGGAUCAAGAAAGCCCUAUCUGUUCUUCGUGAAAUCCUCCUUCAAGAUCAAGCUCCAACGCCCCUUGAAGAACUUCCACCCAUUCAAGAUCAAGCCCCGACGGCCCUUGAAGAAGGUGUUCAUCAUUCAUCAACUGUUCGUCCAAGAUCAAGCCUCGACGGCCCUUGGAUCAACAACACUACAUCUACACGUUUCAAAGAUAGAAUCAGAGGAUAAAUUUGUAGAAGAGAUUGUAACCCCUAAAUCAUUAAUACAAAUAUUAUUUUGGACACGUGUUCUUGUCUCUUUCGUUUCAGGAAUUUCCGUGUUUACAAAUUUGGCACGCCCGGUGGGACAGUCUCUACCUCUCAUCUCUAUCUUUGAAUCCGCAACAAGCACAAAUGGCGUCAAGGAAGGCCCAAGUUGUUCUCGCUGCCAAUGCAAGAAACAAGAGCGUCAUCACGACAGGGGGCAUCACUUCAGGCAUCAUAACUCGAAGUAAGGCAAAAGCUCUUUCCGCCGCCUCUUCCGCCCCUUCAUCAACUCCGCCGAAGGCACAAGAGCACCCGAGGUUCGAACCGGUGAUCACCCUGGCCUCGCUCAGGGCGCCAAGAGAGGAAAGCCAGAGGAAGUACUCUGAAUCCUUACUUUCCGAUGCCGACUCGAGCAGCGGCAUAGCUAUGCAAGUCAUGGUUACCGGAACAACUUCAAUUGAGGAGCAGCUGGCUCAGAUGAACGAAGCAAUCGCAAAGCUCACAAGGACUGUGGAGGAAAAAGACCUGCAAAUCGCAGCACUUGUUAACCAACUAGAUGCAAAGCCCGAUGAGAAAGCCAGGCAAGGGGAUAAUCCGGUAAAGAAGGAAAACGACGAGGAUGAGGAACCUCCAGUGGAGAACGUCGAAGAGACGCUGAAGCUAGACCAAGCGGCGACACUCAUGGGGUCUCUCUCUCUAUCCAGCAGCUGCAGGAGAUGAUCGCCAACACCAUCAAGGCGCAGUAUGAAGGAAGCUCACAUGAUUCCGUACUAUACUCAAAGCCCUACUCCAAGAAGAUUGACGCUUUGAAGAUGCCAAAGGGCUAUCAACCACCAAAGUUUAUGCAGUUCGAUGGAAAGGGGAACCCGAAGCAACAUAUCGCCCACUUCAUUGAAACCUGCAGCAAUGCUGGAACAGAGGGAGACUACCUCGUCAAGCAGUUCGUGCGCUCGCUGAAAAGCAACGCCUUUGACUGGUACACCGACCUCGAGCCCGAGUCUAUCAGCAGUUGGGAUCAGCUAGAAAAGGAAUUCCUCAACCGUUUCUACAGCACGCGCCGCACCGUAAGCAUGCUGGAGCUGACCAGUACGAAACAGUGGAAGGAGGAACCCGUCGUCGACUACAUCAAUAGAUGGCGUUCAUUAAGUCUGGAUUGCAAAGAUCGGCUCUCUGAAACCUCUGCCAUUGAGAUGUGUGUUCAAGGCAUGCACUGGGGGUUACAUUACAUUCUCCAAGGCAUAAAACCAAGAACGUUUGAGGAGCUGGCAACGCGCUCCCACGACAUGGAGCUGAGUAUCGCCAAUCACGGAAAGAAUGAGCCGAUCACCCACUUCAAGAAGGAUAAGGUGUUCGCCCCGAGUGUGGACAAGACCGGAAAAAAGCCUGCAAAGGAAACUUUUACUGUCAACACUACCCCCAUCAAAACCCCAUCCGCGCCUAUCAAGACCACCUCUGCACCUAUCAAGAUUUCCUCCAAGACCAAGGCAAAGGAGACAAAAAGAAGUGAGCCUCCUCGCACCCAAGACAAGUAUAAAAACACCUUGAGAGAGUUGGAGCAAAAGACGUACCCUUUUCCUGACUCAGACGUGGAUGCAAUGUGUUAGAUGACUUGCUGGAAAAGAAGGUAAUUGAGUUACCAGAGUGCAAGCGCCCUGAAGAAAUGAAUCGAACGAACGAUCCUAGGUACUGCAAGUACCAUCGUAUCGUAAGCCAUCAUGUGGGCAAAUGCUUCGUCCUCAAAGAACUCAUUAUGAAGCUAGCGCAACAAGGGAGAAUCGAGCUAGACCUUGAGGACACAGCCGCAACACAUACUACUACAGUGGCGUUCGGAUCCUUCGAUCCCGUGCCUCUCCAAACGACACCCAACCAUUCCUAUCAAUGUGCAAGCUACACGGCGCCUUCUACACAACCAUCGCCGGGGGCAAACGAACAAGAUGCGUAUACCGAUGAUGAUGAAGGAUGGACAUUGGUGACCUACAAAAAAACAAAGAAACCAAAACCACAAGCCACAAGACCAAAGGUGGAACAAGUGAGAAAACACCGUCGCCGCAACAGUAGGAAGCCUAAAAGAAACGUAAAAGUCGAUAAGCCAACGUAUGCUGGGGAACCCGUGGAGCAAGAGCCACGCAUUCCUGUCUCCUUGCGCGAGUACUUCCCGAAUGACUUCUUCCAACAGUGCACCAUCGCUGCAUGCCAUAUGGUCGAAGUAGAAACGGAAGAACCUUCAAAAAGCAAAGAUACCACCACUGAGGGAGAAAAAACUCUCACGCUCGAAGAAGGUCUGCCAACACACUUUAGCAUUGAGGAAGCGCUACGAUUACCAAAGAAGAUGCGAAUAGCAUUAGCAGCGGCCUUGGAAAGUCCCAAUGAACAUGAAGUGCAAGAAAGCAAAGAACGAAGACUUGAAGCUUCGGCCACAUGAAUGUGCCACAUGUUGUGCCAUAGAGGACGCAAUCCAUUUCACCGACGAAGACUUGCUGCUAGGAUCCAAGCCUCACAACCGUCCUCUCUUCGUCUCUGGGUAUGUAAAGGAGCACACAAAGUCAACCGCAUGCUUGUGGAUGGUGGAUCAGCCAUAAACAUCAUGCCAAAGUCGACAAUGAUUACAAUCGGCAUCAAGGCGGAUGAACUGUCCCUAAGUCGUCUACUAAUCCAAGGUUUUAAUCAAGGAGGACAAAAGAGCGAUGGGCAUGAUCCGAGUGGAGAUGACUAUUGGCGAACUCAAGUCGAGCACGAUAUUCCACGUGAUUGAUGCAAGAACUUCCUACGGCUUACUCUUAGGAAGGCCUUGGAUCCAUGCGAAUGGAGUAGUACCGUCCACCCUUCACCAAUGCUUAAAAUUCUACCGAGAAGGAGUGAAGGUGAUCUAUGGCGACACCAAACCAUUCACUGAAGCCGAAUCACAUUUCGCAGACGCCAAGUUCUACAUGGAUGAAGACAUGGUGCCCGAAGCUCUUCCAAAAGAGAUCAAAUCCACGGGCAAAGCAACACCUAAAAAAGCAGGAACGACAAGCCAUGCCCAAGAAGCAAGAAGAAGAAGUUACGCCGUCUUCAAGCAAGAACGAUAAUGAGCCGGCUAAACGUGCAACAACAAAGGAGAGUAAGACGCCCUCAAAUGGACCAAACACACCCGUCUUCCGAUACAUCCCGAUGUCGAGAAGAAAGAAUGGUCAAUCCCCGUUCGAAACUGGAGCAAACAAAGCCGAUGCACAGAGGUAUAUGGAUAAUGUAAAGUUGCUCAAGACGAAUGCAGUUUUACCUCUGACGCAGCUAGGCGGCACUAAGGUCGCAAGACUACCACAAGGCUUCAUAAAAGCUCUACCAAAGGGGGUGGAACCAAGCUUUCUCCCAACCCAGAGGACCGAAGAAGGUUUUGAUCCAAACGCCUAUAAACUCAUGUCGAAAGCUGGCUACGACUUUGCUUCUUCUUCGAAUCAUGGAAAGAAGGUUUCAAACACCGUUAACAAUAAAGAAACGUGACCUCACCGAGACUCAAAGGAAGUUGAAGAAGCACGGUUACGGAGUUGAUAACAACAAAAGCUGGACUAGGCUUCACACCAAACGCACCCGUGAAGAUUUCAAGCAAAGCGAAAAAUGCUAGCACUCAACACAUCAGCGUGAGUAAUGAACAAGAUCAUGAUGAGCCUAAAUCCACCCCUUGGACGUCAGUCUUCGAUAGGAUGAAUCGUUCAAAACCCAGAAUGUCAGCAUUUAACCGCAUUGGUGGUCAAAACCGAACCUCCGUCUUCAAGAGACUUAACAUGCUAGCAUCCCAAAGCUCUGUUUUUGAAAGGUUGUCAAAACCUAAGAAGCAAAGCAACACGACUAGCUCUCUUCCUCGUCAGUCAGCUUUGGAAAGACUUGAAGACAACAAGAAGUUUUCUAGAAAUAGGAAGACCACGUCAAAGGAAGAAAAGCUCGUCAUGAUAGCAGAAAAAUGUGAUAUUCGAAGCUCAAUUCCUUCAAGGAUGAAGCGCCAAGCAAUCUUUGGAGGUGGACACAAAUGGACCACUAAAAGUAAGAAGGCGCACCAUCAUCCACACUGGACAAUCUUCAUGCCGACCAGCCCAAGAGGACGACACCGAAGAGGAAUUCCAAGAUGUCUUCCACAUCACGAUCCAAGAAAGCGAAGAAGAAUGAGAUCCCCGAAGAAGGUGUCACUGCUGCGCCACCACAACUGGAGGAUGGGGGGCAAUCCACAGUCGAUGAUCUCAAGGAACUCAAACUUAGGCAAAGAGGAGCAGAGACCUAUCUUCGUGAGUGCGUUGCUAAGUGCGGACGAGGUAGACGAGUAUUACCAACUGUUAUCAGAGUACAAAGACGUCUUUGCUUGGACUUACAAGGAAAUGCCCGGCCUUGACCCUGUCAUCGCUGUACAUCAUCUUGCAGUUAAGCCCGGAACGAGACCAAUAAAGCAAACUCAAAGGCGCUAUCGAUCCGAGCUCAUUCCACAAAUUGAGGUAGAGAUUGACAAGCUAAUCGAAGCAGGCUUCAUUCGAGAGGUGCAAUACCCUAAGUGGAUCUCCAACAUCGUCAUCGUCCUUAAGAAAUCUGGACAAAUACGUGUUUGUGUAGACUUUCGGGACCUCAAUGACGCUUGCCCGAAAGAUGACUUUCCCUUGCCGAUCAUCGAAAUCAUGGUGGACGCGACCACUGGCCAUGAGGCACUGUCAUUUAUGGACGGCUCUUCUGGAUACAAUCAAAUUCGUAUGGCUCUCGAAGAUGAGGAACUAACAGCAUUCCGCACUCCAAAAGGUAUCUACUGCUACAAGGUGAUGCCCUUUGGUCUAAAGAACGCUGGAGCCACAUAUCAGCGAGCAAUGCAGAAAAUCUUCAAUGACAUGCUACACAAAAACGUAGAAUGUUAUGUAGACGAUGUGGUGGUCAAAACAAAGAAAAGAUCAGAUCACUUGAAGGAUUUGCGAGUAGUGUUCGAAAGGCUGCGAAAAUACAACCUUGAACCGUUAAAAUGUGCAUUUGGCGUCACCUCAGGAAAGUUUCUCGGCUUCGUUGUCAAGCACCGUGGCAUUGAAGUGGACCAAUCAAAGAUCAAGGCCAUUCGAAACAAUGCCCGAGCCAAGAAACCUGCACGAGCUGAAAAGUCUACAAGGACGACUAGCCUUCAUCAGACGCUUCAUCUCCAACCUUGCAGGGCGUUGUCAACCGUUUAGUCGACUCAUGAAAAAGGAUGUCCCGUUCGUAUGGGACGAAGCGUGCCACAACGCUUUUGAAAGCAUAAAAAAAUAUUUAUCAAGUCCACCUGUCCUGGGGGCGCCUGUGCCCGGGAAACCACUCAUAUUGUACAUCGCCGCUCAGGAAAGUUCAGUGGGAGCACUCUUGGCACAGGAAAAUGAAUUCCAGAAAGAAGGAGCGCUUUACUACUUGAGUCGAACACUCACCGGCGCUGAGUUGAACUACUCCCCAAUAGAAAAAAUGUGCCUUGCCUUGGUGUUUGCCAUCCAGAAGCUUAGACAUUACAUGCAUGCUUACACCAUCCACUUGGUUGCUAAAGCUGACCCGGUUAAAUACGUCAUGUCCAAGCCAGUUUUGACAGGGCGACUAGCUAAAUGGGCGUUGAUUCUCAAUCAAUACGAGAUCAUUUACGUCCCAGCUAAAGCCGUCAAGGGACAAGCAUUUAGCAGACUUCCUUGCCGAUCAUCCAAUCCCAGCCGAUUGGAAAAUCUCAGACGACUUGCCUGACGAGGAGGGUAUUCUACAUUGACAUAUUCCCGAGAUGGACGAUGUUCUUCGACGGAUCUGCACGAGCAGACGGAGCGGGGGCAGGAGUAGUAUUCAUGUCGCCACAAAGGCAAAUACUACCUUAUUCAUUCCAACUAAGCGAAUUGUGCUCCAACAACGUCGCUGAGUACCAAGCACUAAUCAUCGGGCUCCAAAUGGCGAUCAACAUGGAAAAUCACAACCCUCGAGGUAUAUGGCGACUCCAAGCUCAUAAUUAGUCAACUCUUGACUGAAUAUGAGGUGAGAAAAGACGAUCUCGUCCCGUACUUCCGACUGGCAACUCAGCUGCUACAAAAGUUCGAGGCCGUAACACUAGAACAUGUGCCGAGAAAAGAAAAUCAAAUGGCAGACGCUCUCGCUAACCUAGCCUCGAGUAUGACACACUAGGAGAAGACGAAGCGGCAGACGUGCCAGUUUGCCAAAGAUGGGUCAUCCCCCUCGCCACCGAAAUGCUACUAGAUGAUACAAAUGUCAUCUCGGUACUUCCAGUCGAUGUUGAAGAAUGGAGACAACCAUUGAUUGACUACUUAGAGUAUGGAAAACUUCCAAAUGAUCCUAGACACCGCUCUGAAAUACGUCGACGAGCACCUCGCUUCCUCUACUACAAAGAAAACACUCUACCGGCGCUCUUUUCGAAGGAGUACUUCUGAGAUGCCUAGGUGAGGAAGAAGCCAAUCAAGCCAUGGAAGAAGCGCACUCAGGCGUGUGCGGGGCGCAUCAAUCUGGACCAAAGCUACAUUUUCCAGCUCAAAAGAAUGGGUUACUACUGGCCAAGUAUGGUGAAGGAUUGCCUGGAACAUGCCAAAAGGUGCCAAGCUUGCCAAUUCCACGCCAACUUCAUACAUCAACCACCUGAACCAUUACACCCUACAACUGCUUCGUGGCCAUUCGAUGCAUGGGGACUGGACGUCGUGGGACCAAUUACUCCAAAGUCAUCUGCAGGAGAAGCCUACAUCCUAGCUGCAACAGAUUACUUUUCCAAGUGGGCUGAAGCCAUACCCCUAAGGGAAGUAAAAAAGGAAACUGUUGUCCGUUUCAUCAAAGAACAUAUCAUCCACAGAUAUGGUGUGCCUCGUUACAUUAAUCACGGACAAUGGAAAACAGUUCUCCAACCGACUUGUAGACGAGCUCUGUGAGAAAUACAAGUUCAAGCAGCAUAAGUCUUCCAUGUAUCAUGCUCCGGCCAACGGUCUAGCGGAAGCAUUCAACAACAAAACAUUGUGCAACCUCUUAAAGAAGGUGAUCGGCCGAACAAAGAGGGACUGGCAUGAAAGAAUAAGCGAAGCACUUUGGGCAAUAUAGGACGACGCAUAGGACUCCUACCCAAGCUACCCCUUAUUCUCUCGUAUAUGGCGUGGAAGCUGUUUUACCGCUAGAAAGUCAAAUCCCUCACACUUAGGAUGGCUAUACAAGAAGGUUUGACUGAUGAAGAGAAUGCAAAGUUGCGCCUUCAAGAGUUGGAAUCACUUGACGAAAGAAGGCUCGAAGCUCAACAACACCUGGAAUGCUACCAAGCACGGCUAUCCAAGGCAUUCAACAAGAAGGUCCGCCCAAGGUCUUUCCAAACUGGAGAUCUCGUCCUUGCAUUACGAAGGCCUAUCAUCACAACUCACAAGACAAAAAGCAAGUUCACAUCAAAGUGGGAUGGACCGUACGUAAUACAAGAGGUCUACAUAAGCGGCGCCUACUUAAUCAUGGCAGAGGACGGCUUGAAGAUCGGUCCCAUCAAUGGCAGAUUCUUGAAGCGUUACUACCCCUAAAAAGCGACGACCAGACUCCUUGCCUGCAUGAGCCUAAACUGCACACGGCACAAAGCUCCUGGCCCGCAAGAGCAUAAACUGUGUACGGCAAAAUCAUCAUCAAAAUCACUAUAAAAAAAAAAUAAAUAAAUUCAUCGCUCAUUUGAACUACGUUGUGACUUGAUCCCUCAUCAACCGGGGGUACGUAGGCAACUUGAAACUUAAAAAAAACUUCAAGUACAGUCACAUCAUCAACAAAAACACAAAUACUUUGAAGAAAUAAAAGAGCAAAUGCAAGAAGGCGAAUACUUCAAAAAAAAAAAAAAAAAAAAAAAAAAAAAAAAAAAAAAAAAAAAAAAAAAAAAAAAAAAAAGAGAAAAACUACUACGGAGGCGAUCUUGAAGCAAGCCUUCCAAAGUCUUCAAAGUCUCCACCUCGGUCGGAGACAAGGUGGGCAAAUCCAUAGCCAGGCCUUUCUCUUGUUCUAGACGUGAGGUCUCCUCAUGGUGCUGAGAAAGUGUAGCUCUCUGUUCUGCAAGAACUUUUUCAAGUUGUGAUGCUUGAGUUCCCAACUGCUCUCGCUCUCGUACCAACGCAUCCAGACGCACCUGGACGGAAGCUAAAGAAGCCUCUGUGACUUGAUAAUCUCCCGAAGCAACUUGCUGAGAAGACCGGACUCUCGGGCCAAGGACAAGUCUAUCGCUGCAAGCUGUUGAGCUCGAUCAUCUGGGCUCAAUUUCUUCAAGGAAAUAGCGCGCAAGGAAGAAUACUCAGUGGAGGCGGCCAUAAGUUCGGCAAUCUUGUUCCUCAAAGACGAAGAAUCAACAUUAAGGUUGUCAAUCGUAGAAACAAGCUUCGACAAAUCUUCUUCGAGCAAUGAAAGGUCUUCCAGCGAACACUUCGAAAUCCUACUCUCAAUAUGGCUUUUUGACAUCCAAGGCAGCACGAAGUUUGAGGCGAUGGAUAAAUUGCUCGGUACCAUUAAGGUUCGGCCCUCUCAAAGAGAUCGCAGAACUAGCUGGCAAAGGUGCUGGACGUAUGAUGGACUCUUGCACGCCUUCACCUACACACGGCAGGCUUGGAAGAUUGGGCGAAUUUUGAACGAGCUCUUCACCGGGCGGAUCCCCGAUCUCCCCGUCUGUAAGCAGAUCGCCUCCAAGUAGCAUAUCCAUAUAGGAGUGAACACCCGCGGCGGCCAAAUCAAAAGGACAAGAAGGCCCCAACCUAAAGAAGACGAAGAGAGGUGUUAGAAGCAAAAGCUGAAAUAAGAAUAAGAAGUCAUGAGAGAGAAAGAAAAUGCAUACAUCUUUCUCUAGAGACACACGACCAUCGGAUUGGGGAGGCCUAAACACUUCUUUCUUUUUAUGACGAAAAUUGACAUCGCUGUCAACCUGAGCAACUUCAAGUGGUCGUUUGUUUAAAACUUGUUGGCGCUGCCGCAAAACAAGUCCAUCUUCAUACGAAUCAACCUCGUCACCCGCCUCUUCAGAAGCAUCCAAAUGGUGAGGAGAUGAGCACAAACGUUGACGGACUAAAGCCACAGGUCUGUCUUGCAAGGGAGUUGCACUCACACAAUCAAAAGGUACCAGCUGCAUAGGAGUCGCAAACUGCCUUCUUUCAACGCAUCGUGGCGUGAAUGGGAAGAAUUAUUACCACUUGCCAUCCCCAAAUCCUCAUGAUGUACCUUUGACCACCAAUGCGCGUAAACACGAGUCACUGGAUUACCCCUGAACUCGUCCUUGGCUGGCAGGGUGAUAUAAGCAUUCGUAAAUGCACGGGUACAAGACUCCCAAUGCAUGCAUAUACACGGCUUGCAAGGAUUCUGAUUGGGCCUUUUCCUUCAGCCUGCCCGGCACAUUUUGGACAAAACCAAAUUGCCUGUAAAACGGCUAAGGAACGGUACGGCUGAACGACGCAUCGGUUUUCUUGCCGCAAAGAAACAUACGCUGAGCGAAGACUUAUGAGAUAAGACAAAUCUGAAGAGCGAAGAUGCGAAUCAUCCAUGAUGCCUCGCCGUACUGAGCCAACUCUCGCCAGGCGGUCCAUUUUUAAACCUUCACAACUUCUAAACAGUGUUUGAGCCUGCGAAUCAUCAAGACUCCUCGCAGAAAGCACACCAGAAUACUUCGUCAUUAAAGGCCCCAACUUGACUGAAGACGGAGAAGAAGGACCUGACUUGUCUAAAGUUGACGAAGAAAAAUGAGUGCCAAAAUACUCACCCAACCAACCAUACACAUAGUGGUAAGGGGAGCACCGCAGCACGAUCUUCAGUGCUUGCCAAGUUUCGAAAAUAACGUUCAAGCCGUCGUAAAUAUUGGCUAAAACUGGAAUAGCAAGACUAAAAGAUUCGCCUACAGCCAUCUUGCUAGCAACUUUGAAGACUCCGGGACGAAUGAAGUUGACAUCAUCCUUGGGGAAAACAAACUUACAGAGCCAACAAGCUAAGAGAGCGGCUAAGUAAGAUUCUUCUAAGUGCUCUGACGCCACGCCACAAUCCUCGAAUGCCUUCAACUCAGCAGAAAGUACGACGAACAGCUGGACCAAUGACACCAGACGGGUCCGAGUCCCCUUAGGCCUGGUUGUCUUGUUACGACCGCUUUUCUUCGAAGGCCUCUUGUACUUCAUGGCAUCCCAAUACCAAAAUUGGAUCCAUGAAGAGAUCUUCACGCCUGACUUACCUGGGGGCCUCUUGGAAAAGCUUAUGGUAUGCCCCAAACAAAUAACGGCAGCUUGCAGGUAAUCCUCGGCUGUUGCGAUAAGAGAAAACUCUUUCCACACUAGGAACAACCUCAUCGUAAAAUUGUCCCUGGAUUGGGCAAGCCCUCCUAUCUUAUGGAGAUCCCAAAGCGAGAUCGACAUCUCCCCUCGAGCCGUAUGAAGUGUGUGUUGGUCGCUGAACACCAAUGCUCGAAGAAUGCACGAAUGACGGAAGGAUGUCGGUCAUAACUGAACAGAGAUGCAUAUACAGCAUGAUAAAGUCCCGUGUUGGUAAGCAUAUCUUUAGAACGGCUCAAGACAUCUUCAAGCCAUUCCCAAUAAAACUCAACAAAGGCGGCUCCUCCAGUAGUCGACAAGGUGCUACUCCAAGCCAUAGCUCCGCUACGGAUACGAUCGCCAAGAAGCUCAAACGAAACCGAAUGAUUGUGUCACGAACAUGGUGCGAAUGGUUCAAGAUAAGACUCAUCGAUGUGCAUGCCUUUUUCUUUGCAUUUAGUCGAACAGAGUCUACCACAUCCCAAGGUACUUCAGAAGACCACGACUUAAUAUGCAUGGAAUUGUCUUUUGCGGGAAGGGCAAGCGCCUUGGGGCCAGGUAAGUGGCGCAUAAAGCUUUAACGUCGUUCCACUAUCCUGUGAAUCGCCUUCCUUUGCAAGAAUGGUGAUAGUGUUGUUUUUUAAAACACUUGAGAAACACCAUGACUGCAACAAAAAAGUCAGCCACAAAACUUGAGCAGGGCGGCAAAGAAGGCAGCUACAGGGCGGGUCCUUCAAAGCACGCUGCAGUGGCAGAGGAAACCAAAAUGCUACGCAAAACUCGCGGCGGAGCCCCGCUGCAGUCUCUUGCACAGCUCCACACGGCAGCGCACCACCGAGGGAAAACUGUGAUCAAAAGGCACUACACGGCAAAAACUUAGUUGCAGUCUCUUGUACAGCCCCACAACGGCAGCGCACCACCGAGGGAAAACUGUAAUCAAAAGACACUACACGGCAAAACUUCGUUGCAGUCUCUUGUACAAGAACACCCACGUCCUGCUCACCCCGCCACUAACUGCAACCACGGGCAAAAGAACCUUUGUCAAAACAACAGUACACCCAUAUUUAUAUUAUUAUAUGGACACAUUACAUAUAUAUACGUAUGUGUGUACGUGUGCACGGCUGGUGUGAUGAGACAAAUCAGCAAUCUUCAUAUAUGUGCGCGUGCGGUGAUGGAACAAAGCAAGGUCAGUGUGUGAACGUGUGUGUGUAUAUAUACACAUGACAAAGCCAUGCAAACAAAGUCUGUGUGUAUGUAUGUAUGUGAAAUGAAAGUCAAAGUUUCUGUGUGUGUGUAUAAGGCACAGCAACAAAUCCCAUAUAUAAAACAUAUAUGCGUACACAGUGAUAAUGACGGGACAAAUCAAUUUCCACAUACAUGUACAUGUGUGCACGGUAUCAAUCACAACCAACUUCCAUAUAUAUGUAUGCAUGCAGAAUGAUGGGACAGCCGCCAGCCAACUUAUAUAAUAUAUAUAUAUAUAUAUAUAUAUAUAUAUAUAUAUAUAUAUAUAUACAUGCAAAGCGACAGGACACUCAACAUAUAUAUAUAUAUAUAUAUAUAUAUAUAUAUAUAUAUAUAUAUAUAUAUAUAUAUAUAUAUAUAUAUAUAUAUAUGUACGUACAACAUGUCAAAAGCAUCUCAGGGUUAUAUAAAUAUAUAUAUAUAUAUAUAUAUAUAUAUAUAUAUAUAUAUAUAUAUAUAUAAGUGUAAGUAUGUGCGGCAUCCAAGAUGAGACAACUAAUCUCAAGGUUGUGUAUAUAUAUAUAAAUAAGUGUAAGUGUGUGCGGCUCCAGGCUAUAUAUAUAAAGGCUUGCUGUGUGCGGUUCCAGGACAUAUAUAUAUAUAAACGCCUGCUGCGUGCGGCUCUGGGACAUAUAUAUAUAUAUAUAUAUGCAUGGUGAUGGGUUAUACAUAUAAACGGACUCACGAAGUAAAAGCUGCAUCCUGCUAGCCGACUGCCUUCUUCUUCCCGUCUGCAGCACUGGUCAUCCCCUCCUCAACGCUUUGCACACCUUAAGCUCCAGCACCGAGACUCCCCUUGUCAAGCUCACUUCUGCAGCCUCAGACCACCGUCUCUGUCCAUCAAUGCGAAGCCAACCCGAACCCGUCGUUCGCCGUCAGGAUCCUCUCUGCUGCAUUUCCUUCCAGCACCGAGCUCAGUAGCAGCAAACGAGGAUCCUCCAGGAACAAUAGGCGCACUGUUAGUAGCAUGAGCAACAGAGGAUGCUACAUAAGAAAGCCCAGUCGACGAAGAUGUAGAGCUGAAAGAGGUAGCAAAAUACAGAGACUUACCAGCUAGCAGACGCGGGGAACGCAGGAAGCAGUGCACGCAGUCGUGAUCGCAGCCAGGUAGUAGCUGUGUGGUGAAUGUGCAGUGCCCUAUGUGUGUAUGUGUGUGCGUAUGCCUAUGUAUAUAUAUACAACGAUCUCAACGGUUGCAAAAGAAACGGAUCCGCAUACGAUGCAGUGACUGUGUAAACAGCAAUCCGCAUGCAGUGAAGAAUGCAGUACAAUAGCUGUUCGCAAACAAUGACCCGCGUGAAGAGAGGAGUGCAGAGAAUAAUGCAGUACAGUAGCUGUGCAAACAGUGAUCUGCGUGAAGAGAGGAGUGCAGAGAAUAAUGCAGUACGGUGACUGUCGCAAACAGUGAUCCGCGUGAAGAGAUGAACGCAGAGAAGAAUGUAGUAUAGUAGCUGUUCAAACAGUGAUCCGUGUGCAGAGAAGAACACAUGAAAAAAAAAAAAAAAAAAAAAAAAAAAAAAAAAAAAAAAAAAUGGUUGCAGUGACUGUGCAAAUAAAAAUGGUACAGAGAAGAAUACGAUGCAGCAAGGAAGACCCGUGCUCUCCACUUCGCUUCCCCUUUGAAGAAUCAUGUUCCUAGUUUCUUAAAUAUACAUAAUAAUAAAAAAAAAAAUGAUGAAAGGUGUUUGGUGCGCAACAUCCAUCAAAACAUAUGUAUACAAAUAGUGAAAUCUUGGUGUAUGGCACUACUCAAAAAAAAAAAAAAAAAAAAAAAAAAAAAAAAAAAAAAAAAAAAAAAAAAAAAAAAAAAAAAAAAAAAAAAAAAAAAAAAAAAAAUUGAAGGAAAGGUGGUGGCGACAAAAUCAUUGAAAGAUGGAAAAAUGGGAAGAAUGGUGCAUCAGGCACCAUCUAAAAGAAAGGUUAUGGGAUGACGCACAACAUCAUUUAAAAAAAAUUAAAUUAAAUUAAAUUAAAAAAUAAAAAAUAAAAAAAAAAAAAAAAAAAAAAAAAAAUAAUAAAAAAAUAAAAAUAAAAUAAAAUAAAAAAAUAAAAAAAGAAGAAGAGAGAAGUAACAUACCUUAGUUAGAUGUACGUUUUAUUUGCGUUUCAACACAACACACGGAAUAAAAUAAGGCAUGUCCAUUAAUAUCUCCGAGAAAUUACAAAAAAAAAAAAAAAAAAAAAAAAAAAAAAAAGAAAGAGAAAGAAAGUAGAAAAAGCCUUCACGAAUGUCACUUGUGUGAAGCCUCAGUACUUGGAGCCUUGGUACUCGGUGGAACCCUAAAGGAGGGGGGCACUGAAGAUAGCUUAUUCGGAGCCUCAAUACUUGGUCGAAUUCCAGAUGACGAAGGCAAAAAGUGCCUCCGGAAUACAUCCACAAACUUCAUAUGGUCACUUUGAAUUCGACCUUCGGAGUCCGUCAGCUGAUCAAGCUUCCUCUUCAUGCUCGUCGAAUAACUAUUUGCAAGCACAUGCAACUCUCUAUUCUCACGCUUGAGCUGCCUAAUCUCUUGACUAAGAGCCGCCACCUCGGCUGUCAAUGAUUCAACCUGGCGAGUUCGAGCAAGUAAGCGUUGGCCCAUGUUGGAAACAGAGUUCGCACACUGGACACUGAGAGCCUGGGACUCUUGAACAGCUAACUCAUCGGACCGUCGUGAAAGUAUCCUAUUAUCUUUAGGAGUGAUGAGGUUUCUAGCUACAACCGUAGCCGUGGUUGCAUCCCUCAUCACAGAGUCCUCAACUGUAAGAGGGCCAUUAGAAGAAAAAAAAGACGGGCGCCAUACAUUACCCUGACGCGGUGCACCUGUGUCACUGCUAAGACUCAAAUCUAAGCAAAUGUUAAACGGGGAAGUCAUUUUCAAAAAAAAAAAAUACUAGAAGAAAAAGGUUGGAUGAAGUAAAAAGUAGCAGAGAUGAUUUUUCACGGGCAGGCAAUCUUCAAAUUGUGCAUGUCGAACACAAUUGACACUCCUUUAAAAGGAGAGGCAGCACAAACCAUUCGUUCAUAAAUUGAAGAGGCACCACUCUCCGAAUUUCAAAACCCGGAUUUUCCUGCGAAAAGUCCGUCGACGCUUUUCAGACACAAUCUCAGCUUUCGGCUAUCACGUGCAACUUUAUCAGAUAUCACUGACAAAGCUGAAAACGCGUGAGGUCCAUUAUGCCAACUACCGCACUUCUGCCGACAAGCGUGGGUGACAAGGCCACGCUCACCCUGCCACUUGAUGUUGAGAGCUCACCAUAUAAUUCGACCUCCAUCCUAUAGCAAGACACACAUCCAGCCUGACUUUUCUUCCUUGCCGAAGACAUCUGCAACCAAAACUCAGUUUUCUUCCUCCCUGAAAACACAUCCAGCCUGACCUUUCUUCCUCGCCGAAGGCAUCUGCAACCAAAACUCGGUUUUCUUCCUCCCUGGAAGCGCCUCGUCAACCAAGCCACACUAGAGCAAAGGUAUCUCAUAUCACUAGGGUUGAGAGCAAGAGUAUCUCAUAGCAUGCUUUCUCCCUAUCCUUUUCUUUGUCCUCCCUCUUCACCGCGAAGACAAGGAUAAAGAAAGCAAUAUGUCGGAACCUCCACUCAAGCUCCUGGUAUGGAACCGACUGCUUGGAACCUUCCCUGAUUGCUCACCUAGCCGUGCUCUCGAAUACUCAUCUUCAACAUCUCUUCUGCUUCCUCUUCGUCUACCACGUCUGCCUGGAAAACAGAUGAUGCAGGUGAAGAUGAUGCAGAUGAAGAUGAUGCAUCGAAGCAUAUGGAGACAAGCGCGACGAAUGCAUGUGUUGAUCGUCCACUACUUCUUCAAAAGCAAAAGUAUCUCAUAUCACUGGGGUCGAAAGCAAAGGUAUCUCAUAUCAUGCUUUCCCCCCAUCAUUUCCCACGUCCUUGCUCUUGCCUGCAGAACAAGGAGAAGGGAAGCAAUCAGUCGGAACCUGAAAUUAAACGUCCGAUCAAGAACUGAUUGCCUGCAACCUUUGCCUGGUUACCUACUUGGCGUUGCUCUCGAGUGCUCAUCUUCAACUGCUGAUAUGUCUCGAAUUCCCUCAGCAAAUGCUUCAGGAGUGUGGAUCUGUUGACAUCGGCUCUUUGCACUGAAGCUGCCAAGCGUGAGUGAGUCGCUGAGAGGUGGUGCUCCGAAGAACCAUUUAAAGGCAAAUAGGUUGCACACAACUUCAGCUAUGCCAGGGAAACAAGUAGAGAAGAAUGCAACAUAACAAGCUGGAACAAAUCAUGAAGCACGAAGCCCUUCCCUGCAUAGCUGCAUAAUCCAGACGGACGAGUUCAAGUAAAGAUCCAAACUGGACACCGUUGCUCUAACCAAAAGGCUCGAGAAGCUUUUAACAACCUUUCGUUGGCACCGUCACCAAAGAGCAAAAGUCUCGAUAAUCCUUAAAGAUCAAGUCACCAACUGGAAGAAGAGCCCAUCAAUCUUGAAGAUCAUACUGUUGACCAAACUGCUCAGGGUUCAUAUGAAAAGGCUGCGAACUUCCUUGAUCUUUCAAAGCAUGCAUGUCCUGGAACUGCUCGUGGUCACGUUUAAGUUCGAGAUCAAGCUUUAACAACCCUGACUCAAGAUCAAGUGUCCACCACCCUUGAGUCAAAUCCAGUUCAAAAUGAAGUAUGUGGAAAGUCCUUUGGAGGAAACCAGAAAACUCCUUCAGCCUAGUUCAAGAUCAAAGCUGUGGAAAGUCAACAAGCACAACAAAAUACGUGUCGAUUCAUCCAUCAUCAAAGCCAAGGAUCGUCUUCUACACGAAGCUCCUUGUAGUCCAAUUUUAUCCAAGAUCAAGCCUCAACGGCCCUUGAAGAAACUUCAAACAAAAUUCAAGAACAAGCCUUAACGGCACUUGAAGAAACUCCCAGACCGGUUCAAGAUCAAGCCUCAGCGGCCCUUGGAUCGACAACUGCAUUAAGGGACUUCAAAACGCAUCUUUCUACAUGUAACAAGCACAUGUAUACAACGCGUCUUGAAGUGGGGGCAUUUGUAGACAUUGAAAUUUUUGGUGGCAUAAAUGUUAGCGCUUGCAUUAAGAUUACAUUUGUAAACAUUGAAAUUUUAGUGAAAUAAAUGUUGACCAUUGUGUUUAAAACUACAACCUUCAUCCAAAUUCACCUACAACCCCCACCCAAAUUCACCUACAACAACCAAUCCAAAUUCACCUACAACCUCCACCCAAAUUCACCUACAACAAUCCAUCCAAAUUCACCUACAACCUCAACCCAAAUUCACCUACAACCAAUCCACCAAUUCACCUACAACAUACACCAAAACAAAUGGAUGGUGGUGGUUCAUUUCUCAAGGCCUAUAAAUAGGCUCCUCCAUCAAAGAAUCAAAGGAGGAUUUUAGAUACACUUUCUCUACUCCCAAAUUGGAAGAGAAAUCACACCACACCAAAGCCUUGAAGCCUCGAAACUCUGAAGCUCUCAAGUAAAUCCCGAAGGAUCAAGAAAGCCCUAUCUGUUCUUCGUGAAAUCCUCCUUCAAGAUCAAGCUCCAACGCCCCUUGAAGAACUUCCACCCAUUCAAGAUCAAGCCCCGACGGCCCUUGAAGAAGGUGUUCAUCAUUCAUCAACUGUUCGUCCAAGAUCAAGCCUCGACGGCCCUUGGAUCAACAACACUACAUCUACACGUUUCAAAGAUAGAAUCAGAGGAUAAAUUUGUAGAAGAGAUUGUAACCCCUAAAUCAUUAAUACAAAUAUUAUUUUGGACACGUGUUCUUGUCUCUUUCGUUUCAGGAAUUUCCGUGUUUACAGGUAUUAUCGCAAAUACUUAUAAGUUAAGAUGAUACUUCAGCAAAUAACCCUAAACUUUUCAAUUUGUAGAUCCCGUGUUAUAAUAUAAAUGAAGAAUGAAAAAAUAUAUUUUAAUGUCAUUUCAUUUGUAUUAUAACACGUAGUAUACAUGUACGGACUAACGUUGCGAAUACACUGAAAAAAUCUUUCGUUCGAUAUUAUUACUGAUUGGUUGCAAACUCUGUUCAUGUGGAACAGAACAGACCAGAACAAAAAUAAGAGAGGUUAUAAAGGUUCCAUACGUAAACGAGUCACCGACCAAACGGUUGUAACUCUACUUUUCAUCCGUCGUUUUUCACUCCCCGUCUUGUUCGUGCUCUCAAGCCUUGCCAACAUUCAUCAGAUUUUUCCAAAACCAACAACACGAACCCAACGAAUUAUCUCAAAAAAACAAUUUCCGGGUCUUUCAUUUCAGUCCAAAAAUCUCAGAUGGGUCGUCGUCGGCAGAGCGACUCAGAACUCGGCCGUCUCACACUUCUGGCCCUUUUCCUGAUGGGCGCAAUCUUCUGCUGCAUGGUGUACCUGUUCCUCGCUGUGGCCUCAAAACCCAGCAGCAUAACAACAGCUGAUUCGGUUUCGGAAUUCGGAGACGUUGGAUGGAGGAGUGGAGAAGAAGAUGGAGAAUGCUGCAGAGGGAUUGAGAAUUUAGAGCUCUGGGGUGAUGCUGUGAAAUGGGGUUCUGAGUUUAAGGUGAAUUCUUCUAAAGAGUGCUGCAUGUCUUGUAAGGAUAUGUGCGGGGAUCGAGAUGGGCAUUGUUUGUGUGACAGUUGGGUGUUUUGUGGGGAUAGAGAGGCUUGUGGACUUAGAUAUGGUGAGGGUAUGGUUUUCUCUCCGUUUCAUCAAAUCUGCUCUCUCUACUAUUUAACAUUUAUUUUUGGGUAUAUUCAUUUUAAUUGAGCGGUAUUCUAAUUUAAUCUAAACUACGGAGUAGGGGAAUUACACUAGAGCGUGUAGCCAACUUGGUUACGCCCAUGUAUGCGUAAAUUCCUAUGAUGGUUUGGUUUAUUUAUUCCAAGGAAGCUUUGGGAGAUAAUGUAGAUGGAAAUUCGUAGUGUGGUUGUGUAGUUUUCAUAUAAUGUACAAGAAUUUAUUGUACUCGUAUAAGAUAAGAGAGUUUCGGUGUGACGAUUGGGAAUAGUCAGCAAAUUUUGAGAUUGUGCGUAGUCCAUUUUCUGGUGCUUGCAACUUUUAGGGCUACUAUUCAGUCUAUUCUACCAUAUUCUUCUUAUUUAUUCUUAAAAAUUCAUGGCAAUCCUGGCUCGGGACAUUAUCAACAUGAACGAGAGCAUUAUCGAAAUUAGCAUCUUGCACAUCAAUAUGACUGUUACAUUCUUGAUAAAUCCUUUGAUUGAAUUAACUGGUUUGGGUUCUAAGCUGCCUAUCUUCUUCAUGCUUGCAGUGUUGGUUAAAGAAACAAAAGGAUACCUUGGACCCUGAUCGGAAAGACUCAGGUGAUCUGAUUGCAUGGACUUCUGGACUCGUCUUUGGAAAAGGAGAGGUAAAUAAUUACUGUUUGUCAUAGUACUUGUCUUUGGUUGUAAUUCUACUACUAAUUAUGUUGUCAAGUUUUGGUACUUGUUUACUCAUGCGCCCGAGGGUCCCAUUUAUGUGUUUCGUUGCUGAUAUAUGAACAUUUCUUCUUUGGGACAAAACGAUUCACAGAAAUUUUCAGAUCAGAGUAACUAAGAUUGUAGUUACUAUGUUUAGUUUUACCAAAAGCAGUUUGGCUUAUAAUUUUUUUAUUGGAGAUUACUACACUUUGAUUCGGUGAACAUCUGAUUACUGUUUGAUUAGUUCACAUUAGCAGGGGCAGCCAACAAAAACGACCUAGUUUUGUCUGAAACCUGGCUUCGAGAGUGGCUUCUGUUUUGAUGCUUUUAGCCGACUGCAGUUAUGUUUGCGAGAAGGCUUAGUUGACUUGAGUUGGUUACCUGAGGUUGUUAAAAUUAGAAGACAUUUCUAGUAUUUGUAGGAGGGGAUGUAAGAAUUUGGCAUGGGUGUGGUUUUUCUAUGAGUUUCAAAGAGGAGUGCAUAACGUGAAAGAUCGAUGUGUAUUGUAGCAGCAGAUUUUUUCGUAUAUUAUAUGAGUGGUUUUAAGGAAGUUAGACUAAAAGUUAUUUCUGUUUUCUGUGUCUUCUUGUCUGUUCACAUAACAUGGCUUGUAUCUACCCUUCGAUUUCCACAGGGUAUUGUCGGCUUGGAAACAGAGUAUGGGACUCUUCAUAUAAAGGUUAAUUCUUCCUCCUCAGGAGUAGAUGCGUAAUCUAGGAUCUCUUACAACCCUGAGCUAAAUCUUAUUCAGUUAAGUUAUGCUGAUACUGUAGUGAUCGAAAGUUUUAGACUGCAUAUUUGUUCACAAUGUGCUGUUUAGCUUUCAUGAAUUUGAAACUCUAGCGGCUAUAUGAUGCUGCUCGUUAUAAGCUUUAACAAAUUUACUAUUUCUCGUGUGAAAAUAAGGAUUCGUACUAGUAUCUGAAUGUUGAUAAAACAAAAACACUGUUUCAUUUGAAAACAAAAAUGUUAACUGAUCGAAACUUGCUAGGUUUAGGGGUAUUCUUCAGUGUUCUCCGUCAAGCUCCUUCACAAUUGAUGCGAUUUCUUUUUCUUAUAAGUUGUUAUGUUCAUGUAAUCUUCUUAAAACUAAACUGUAUGAUUACAGCAUCUACUCUCGUUCGGUUCUUAAAUUUAUGCAGCUCCGUCCUGAUUGUGCCCCACAUUCUGUUGCCUACAUUCUUGAGCUGUUGCAAGUGCCCCGUUAUGCAGGCUGCCAAUUUUAUCGCGCAGAAAACCGGGGAAGCUUUUGGGACUCACUAGGAAACCAUGUAAAAAAUGUAAGUUUCGGACUCAGGAGUUGUAACUCUUCAGCUUUGUCUGAGUUUUGAGCUUGCUUGUUGUGAGUGCCCGUCAUUCCAAUCUUGUAGCAUAUAUCCGCGUUAUAACAUAGUUGCUCGCGUAUACCUGCUUUUGGUAUUUAUUUCUCAUUUCAGAAGUUUCUCAUGUAAGCUAUAUAGGCUCCGUUUGGCCCGCCUUUCGCGCUAAUACAAGGAACGCUUGCAGCUCACGGGUUCGUAUUUAAGGAGAUUCCGGCAGAGGUGUCUGGCACCAUCAGAAGAGGAUCGGUUGCCUGGAUUGGUUCCGGUCCAGAAUUCUUCAUCAGCCUAGCCAACCAUUUUGAGUGGAAAAAAGCUUACACUGUGUUUGGUUCCGUUCUUCCUGAAGACAUGGAAAUCGCCGAGAAAAUUGCCCAGCUUCCGACCAAACAAGAGGUCUGGAGUAACAUCAAUGUCUCCGUCUUGGAGAGUCCUGUCGCUUUAUGGUUCCGAAGAAUCAAGCCGGAAUCAUGAUGCUGCAAGGUUCGCCGGAAUAAUGACAUUGCCAGGUUCGAUGCGUACAUAAACACGCAUCAUGCUCAGUGUGAUGCUGUUUUUCUUGGGCUUUCUACUUAAAACACAUAUUGGCGAAGAAAAUGCAAGUUUAAUAGUUGUUCGUCCUUGCUAGUUAGAUUUGUUGCCUAUUCAAUUUGUAGAUAAAGAGAGUUCCCAGAUAUUGAUUCUCUAAGCAUUGUGUUACGAUACCAAGCAAACUGCAUCGCGUAAUCGCUACUCGGUUUCUAAAAUCAUACCAUGCUUUGUGUUGCUAGAUUCAGAAUCUGCUAGGCCGUCUGACAAGAGAACAUUUUUCUCGAAUAUAUAGUUUCCACUACACGAGACAAAAAGCUAAUCUACAUAGUUUCCGCUACGCGAGACCACAGGCUACAAAGACUAAGCUACAAUCUUCGACUAGAACCAAGCUAACGUGACCAAGUUCCACAUUCCCUCAACACUUUGAAAACAAAAGGAAAUUGUAAAAAGUGGCUCGUAAACGAGAGUUAAACACGAAAUUACAACUAAUUAAACUCACAUUACCUAGUCCCUCUAUGAUCCAAAAGCACCACCGGCUGCUAUCUUCCAAUGCAAUCCCACCAUCUAUGCCUCAGGGGAUGGCAUUCUCUUGGCCUUCUUCUUCUUCUCCGAAACCGCCUUCGCAAAAGCCUCCACAAUUCUUUGCUGAGAGUCCAAAAUCAUUUCCGUCCGCUUCAUUUCCAUCUCCAUCCGCAUCGCCUCGACCUCCCUCGCCAUCUCCAUCUUCAUCUGCUCCAUCCUCACAAACCCAUCUCCCAAAAGCUUAAUCGCCGACACCAUCUCCGCCACGGGGUCUCUCUCCCUCUCCCUCCCAUUCCCUUCUCUCUUCCCCAAUCCGGGCCUCCCCGAAUUCCCACACUCUCUCAUCACCUUAGCACUCCCAUAAACCGACGCUGGAUUCGAAUUCAUCCCGAAUUUCUGAUCCAUCUUCGGAUACACCUUGGUCCCAGGCUGAGCUAUACUAACCCCAGUUGGAAUCCUAAUCCUAAACCCACUUCCGGCACCAGCACCGCCACCACUUCCGCCACUUCCGCCACCAACCCCAACUCCAUUCCUAUACAACUUACUCAUACUCUUCAUAUUCGACCCGUACCUCAGCUCCUCAUAGAGCUCCUGAUCCGGAUCCUCCUCCUCUUCGUUCUCCUCGUUCUCCUCCUCUUCGCCGGGACUUUCGGAGUUUUCCCUCUUCCCAGCUGCCGGCCCCUUCUCCAUGGCGUCCAUCCGCUUGAAGUGGACCCACGACGACGUGAAUCUGGACAACGGCAUCGACCUGGCUCGCUGGAUCUCAGUCCGGUACCGCUUCCGGAGCUUCUCCAUCUUGUGACGGCACUGAACGGCGGGGGUCUUCGCGGGAGAAGCAGCCGGGCAUCGCCGAGCGACCGGCGUCGGCCACGUCCUGCCAGUGGGUGGCUUGAGGUUUCCACGGCGGAGGGAGUACCACUUUUCGCGGUAGGAGUCAUGAGGGCGACGUCUCGUCGUGGGACCAGCAGGGANNNNNNNNNNNNNNNNNNNNNNNNNNNNNNNNNNNNNNNNNNNNNNNNNNNNNNNNNNNNNNNNNNNNNNNNNNNNNNNNNNNNNNNNNNNNNNNNNNNNNNNNNNNNNNNNNNNNNNNNNNNNNNNNNNNNNNNNNNNNNNNNNNNNNNNNNNNNNNNNNNNNNNNNNNNNNNNNNNNNNNNNNNNNNNNNNNNNNNNNNNNNNNNNNNNNNNNNNNNNNNNNNNNNNNNNNNNNNNNNNNNNNNNNNNNNNNNNNNNNNNNNNNNNNNNNNNNNNNNNNNNNNNNNNNNNNNNNNNNNNNNNNNNNNNNNNNNNNNNNNNNNNNNNNNNNNNNNNNNNNNNNNNNNNNNNNNNNNNNNNNNNNNNNNNNNNNNNNNNNNNNNNNNNNNNNNNNNNNNNNNNNNNNNNNNNNNNNNNNNNNNNNNNNNNNNNNNNNNNNNNNNNNNNNNNNNNNNNNNNNNNNNNNNNNNNNNNNNNNNNNNNNNNNNNNNNNNNNNNNAACACCUAAAAAGCAGGAACGACAAGCCAUGCCCAAGAAGCAAGAAGAAGAAGUUACGCCGUCUUCAAGCAAGAACGAUAAUGAGCCGGCUAAACGUGCAACAACAAAGGAGAGUAAGACGCCCUCAAAUGGACCAAACACACCCGUCUUCCGAUACAUCCCGAUGUCGAGAAGAAAGAAUGGUCAAUCCCCGUUCGAAACUGGAGCAAACAAAGCCGAUGCACAGAGGUAUAUGGAUAAUGUAAAGUUGCUCAAGACGAAUGCAGUUUUACCUCUGACGCAGCUAGGCGGCACUAAGGUCGCAAGACUACCACAAGGCUUCAUAAAAGCUCUACCAAAGGGGGUGGAACCAAGCUUUCUCCCAACCCAGAGGACCGAAGAAGGUUUUGAUCCAAACGCCUAUAAACUCAUGUCGAAAGCUGGCUACGACUUUGCUUCUUCUUCGAAUCAUGGAAAGAAGGUUUCAAACACCGUUAACAAUAAAGAACGUGACCUCACCGAGACUCAAAGGAAGUUGAAGAAGCACGGUUACGGAGUUGAUAACAACAAAGCUGGACUAGGCUUCACACCAAACGCACCCGUGAAGAUUUCAAGCAAAGCGAAAAAUGCUAGCACUCAACACAUCAGCGUGAGUAAUGAACAAGAUCAUGAUGAGCCUAAAUCCACCCUUGGACGUCAGUCUUCGAUAGGAUGAAUCGUUCAAAACCCAGAAUGUCAGCAUUUAACCGCAUUGGUGGUCAAAACCGAACCUCCGUCUUCAAGAGACUUAACAUGCUAGCAUCCCAAAGCUCUGUUUUUGAAAGGUUGUCAAAACCUAAGAAGCAAAGCAACACGACUAGCUCUCUUCCUCGUCAGUCAGCUUUGGAAAGACUUGAAGACAACAAGAAGUUUUCUAGAAAUAGGAAGACCACGUCAAAGGAAGAAAAGCUCGUCAUGAUAGCAGAAAAAUGUGAUAUUCGAAGCUCAAUUCCUUCAAGGAUGAAGCGCCAAGCAAUCUUGGAGGUGGACACAAAUGGACCACUAAAAGUAAGAAGGCGCACCAUCAUCCACACUGGACAAUCUUCAUGCCGACCAGCCCAAGAGGACGACACCGAAGAGGAAUUCCAAGAUGUCUUCCACAUCACGAUCCAAGAAAGCGAAGAAGAUGAGAUCCCCGAAGAAGGUGUCACUGCUGCGCCACCACAACUGGAGGAUGGGGGGCAAUCCACAGUCGAUGAUCUCAAGGAACUCAACUUAGGCACAAAAGAGGAGCAGAGACCUAUCUUCGUGAGUGCGUUGCUAAGUGCGGACGAGGUAGACGAGUAUUACCAACUGUUAUCAGAGUACAAAGACGUCUUUGCUUGGACUUACAAGGAAAUGCCCGGCCUUGACCCUGUCAUCGCUGUACAUCAUCUUGCAGUUAAGCCCGGAACGAGACCAAUAAAGCAAACUCAAAGGCGCUAUCGAUCCGAGCUCAUUCCACAAAUUGAGGUAGAGAUUGACAAGCUAAUCGAAGCAGGCUUCAUUCGAGAGGUGCAUAUACCCUAAGUGGAUCUCCAACAUCGUCAUCGUCCUUAAGAAAUCUGGACAAAUACGUGUUUGUGUAGACUUUCGGGACCUCAAUGACGCUUGCCCGAAAGAUGACUUUCCCUUGCCGAUCAUCGAAAUCAUGGUGGACGCGACCACUGGCCAUGAGGCACUGUCAUUUAUGGACGGCUCUUCUGGAUACAAUCAAAUUCGUAUGGCUCUCGAAGAUGAGGAACUAACAGCAUUCCGCACUCCAAAAGGUAUCUACUGCUACAAGGUGAUGCCCUUUGGUCUAAAGAACGCUGGAGCCACAUAUCAGCGAGCAAUGCAGAAAAUCUUCAAUGACAUGCUACACAAAAACGUAGAAUGUUAUGUAGACGAUGUGGUGGUCAAAACAAAGAAAAGAUCAGAUCACUUGAAGGAUUUGCGAGUAGUGUUCGAAAGGCUGCGAAAAUACAACCUCAAGAUGAACCCGUUAAAAUGUGCAUUUGGCGUCACCUCAGGAAAGUUUCUCGGCUUCGUUGUCAAGCACCGUGGCAUUGAAGUGGACCAAUCAAAGAUCAAGGCCAUUCGAAACAUGCCCGAGCCAAGAAACCUGCACGAGCUGAAAAGUCUACAAGGACGACUAGCCUUCAUCAGACGCUUCAUCUCCAACCUUGCAGGGCGUUGUCAACCGUUUAGUCGACUCAUGAAAAAGGAUGUCCCGUUCGUAUGGGACGAAGCGUGCCACAACGCUUUUGAAAGCAUAAAAAAAUAUUUAUCAAGUCCACCUGUCCUGGGGGCGCCUGUGCCCGGGAAACCACUCAUAUUGUACAUCGCCGCUCAGGAAAGUUCAGUGGGAGCACUCUUGGCACAGGAAAAUGAAUUCCAGAAAGAAGGAGCGCUUUACUACUUGAGUCGAACACUCACCGGCGCUGAGUUGAACUACUCCCCAAUAGAAAAAAAUGUGCCUUGCCUUGGUGUUUGCCAUCCAGAAGCUUAGACAUUACAUGCAUGCUUACACCAUCCACUUGGUUGCUAAAGCUGACCCGGUUAAAUACGUCAUGUCCAAGCCAGUUUUGACAGGGCGACUAGCUAAAUGGGCGUUGAUUCUCAAUCAAUACGAGAUCAUUUACGUCCCAGCUAAAGCCGUCAAGGGACAAGCAUUAGCAGACUUCCUUGCCGAUCAUCCAAUCCAUCCCAGCCGAUUGGAAAAUCUCAGACGACUUGCCUGACGAGGAGGUAUUCUACAUUGACAUAUUCCCGAGAUGGACGAUGUUCUUCGACGGAUCUGCACGAGCAGACGGAGCGGGGGCAGGAGUAGUAUUCAUGUCGCCACAAAGGCAAAUACUACCUUAUUCAUUCCAACUAAGCGAAUUGUGCUCCAACAACGUCGCUGAGUACCAAGCACUAAUCAUCGGGCUCCAAAUGGCGAUCAACAUGGAAAUCACAACCCUCGAGGUAUAUGGCGACUCCAAGCUCAUAAUUAGUCAACUCUUGACUGAAUAUGAGGUGAGAAAAGACGAUCUCGUCCCGUACUUCCGACUGGCAACUCAGCUGCUACAAAAGUUCGAGGCCGUAACACUAGAACAUGUGCCGAGAAAAGAAAAUCAAAUGGCAGACGCUCUCGCUAACCUAGCCUCGAGUAUGACACUAGGAGAAGACGAAGCGGCAGACGUGCCAGUUUGCCAAAGAUGGGUCAUCCCCCUCGCCACCGAAUGAAAUGCUACUAGAUGAUACAAAUGUCAUCUCGGUACUUCCAGUCGAUGUUGAAGAAUGGAGACAACCAUUGAUUGACUACUUAGAGUAUGGAAAACUUCCAAAUGAUCCUAGACACCGCUCUGAAAUACGUCGACGAGCACCUCGCUUCCUCUACUACAAAGAAAACACUCUACCGGCGCUCUUUCGAAGGAGUACUUCUGAGAUGCCUAGGUGAGGAAGAAGCCAAUCAAGCCAUGGAAGAAGCGCACUCAGGCGUGUGCGGGGCGCAUCAAUCUGGACCAAAGCUACAUUUCCAGCUCAAAAGAAUGGGUUACUACUGGCCAAGUAUGGUGAAGGAUUGCCUGGAACAUGCCAAAAGGUGCCAAGCUUGCCAAUUCCACGCCAACUUCAUACAUCAACCACCUGAACCAUUACACCCUACAACUGCUUCGUGGCCAUUCGAUGCAUGGGGACUGGACGUCGUGGGACCAAUUACUCCAAAGUCAUCUGCAGGAGAAGCCUACAUCCUAGCUGCAACAGAUUACUUUUCCAAGUGGGCUGAAGCCAUACCCCUAAGGGAAGUAAAAAAGGAAACUGUUGUCCGUUUCAUCAAAGAACAUAUCAUCCACAGAUAUGGUGUGCCUCGUUACAUUAUCACGGACAAUGGAAAACAGUUCUCCAACCGACUUGUAGACGAGCUCUGUGAGAAAUACAAGUUCAAGCAGCAUAAGUCUUCCAUGUAUCAUGCUCCGGCCAACGGUCUAGCGGAAGCAUUCAACAAAACAUUGUGCAACCUCUUAAAGAAGGUGAUCGGCCGAACAAAGAGGGACUGGCAUGAAAGAAUAAGCGAAGCACUUUGGGCAUAUAGGACGACGCAUAGGACUCCUACCCAAGCUACCCCUUAUUCUCUCGUAUAUGGCGUGGAAGCUGUUUUACCGCUAGAAAGUCAAAUCCCCUCACUUAGGAUGGCUAUACAAGAAGGUUUGACUGAUGAAGAGAAUGCAAAGUUGCGCCUUCAAGAGUUGGAAUCACUUGACGAAAGAAGGCUCGAAGCUCAACAACACCUGGAAUGCUACCAAGCACGGCUAUCCAAGGCAUUCAACAAGAAGGUCCGCCCAAGGUCUUUCCAAACUGGAGAUCUCGUCCUUGCAUUACGAAGGCCUAUCAUCACAACUCACAAGACAAAAAGCAAGUUCACAUCAAAGUGGGAUGGACCGUACGUAAUACAAGAGGUCUACAUAAGCGGCGCCUACUUAAUCAUGGCAGAGGACGGCUUGAAGAUCGGUCCCAUCAAUGGCAGAUUCUUGAAGCGUUACUACCCCUAAAAAGCGACGACCAGACUCCUUGCCUGCAUGAGCCUAAACUGCACACGGCACAAAGCUCCUGGCCCGCAAGAGCAUAAACUGUGUACGGCAAAAUCAUCAUCAAAAUCACUAUAAAAAAAAAAUAAAUAAAUUCAUCGCUCAUUUGAACUACGUUGUGACUUGAUCCCUCAUCAACCGGGGGUACGUAGGCAACUUGAAACUUAAAAAAAACUUCAAGUACAGUCACAUCAUCAACAAAAACACAAAUACUUUGAAGAAUAAAGAGCAAAUGCAAGAAGGCGAAUACUUCAUUUCUUAAAAAAAAAAAAAAAAAAAAAAAAAAAAAAAAAAAAAAAAAAAAAAAAAAACAGAAAAUAUUACUGGAAAGAUAUGUCCCUAAAACUACGGAGGCGAUCUUGAAGCAAGCCUUCCAAAGUCUUCAAAGUCUCCACCUCGGUCGGAGACAAGGUGGGCAAAUCCAUAGCCAGGCCUUUCUCUUGUUCUAGACGUGAGGUCUCCUCAUGGUGCUGAGAAAGUGUAGCUCUCUGUUCUGCAAGAACUUUUUCAAGUUGUGAUGCUUGAGUUCCCAACUGCUCUCGCUCUCGUACCAACGCAUCCAGACGCACCUGGACGGAAGCUAAAGAAGCCUCUGUGACUUGAUAAUCUCCCGAAGCAACUUGCUGAGAAGACCGGACUCGGGCCAAGGACAAGUCUAUCGCUGCAAGCUGUUGAGCUCGAUCAUCUGGGCUCAAUUUCUUCAAGGAAAUAGCGCGCAAGGAAGAAUACUCAGUGGAGGCGGCCAUAAGUUCGGCAAUCUUGUUCCUCAAAGACGAAGAAUCAACAUUAAGGUUGUCAAUCGUAGAAACAAGCUUCGACAAAUCUUCUUCGAGCAAUGAAAGGUCUUCCAGCGAACACUUCGAAAUCCUACUCUCAAUAUGGCUUUUGACAUCCAAGGCAGCACGAAGUUUGAGGCGAUGGAUAAAUUGCUCGGUACCAUUAAGGUUCGGCCCUCUCAAAGAGAUCGCAGAACUAGCUGGCAAAGGUGCUGGACGUAUGAUGGACUCUUGCACGCCUUCACCUACACACGGCAGGCUUGGAAGAUUGGGCGAAUUUUGAACGAGCUCUUCACCGGGCGGAUCCCCGAUCUCCCCGUCUGUAAGCAGAUCGCCUCCAAGUAGCAUAUCCAUAUAGGAGUGAACACCCGCGGCGGCCAAAUCAAAAGGACAAGAAGGCCCAACCUAAAGAAGACGAAGAGAGGUGUUAGAAGCAAAAGCUGAAAUAAGAAUAAGAAGUCAUGAGAGAGAAAGAAAUGCAUACAUCUUUCUCUAGAGACACACGACCAUCGGAUUGGGGAGGCCUAAACACUUCUUUCUUUUUAUGACGAAAAUUGACAUCGCUGUCAACCUGAGCAACUUCAAGUGGUCGUUUGUUUAAAACUUGUUGGCGCUGCCGCAAAACAAGUCCAUCUUCAUACGAAUCAACCUCGUCACCCGCCUCUUCAGAAGCAUCCAAAUGGUGAGGAGAUGAGCACAAACGUUGACGGACUAAAGCCACAGGUCUGUCUUGCAAGGGAGUUGCACUCACACAAUCAAAAGGUACCAGCUGCAUAGGAGUCGCAAAACUGCCUUCUUUCAACGCAUCGUGGCGUGAAUGGGAAGAAUUAUUACCACUUGCCAUCCCCAAAUCCUCAUGAUGUACCUUUGACCACCAAUGCGCGUAAACACGAGUCACUGGAUUACCCCUGAACUCGUCCUUGGCUGGCAGGGUGAUAUAAGCAUUCGUAAAUGCACGGGUACAAGACUCCCAAUGCAUAUACACGGCUUGCAAGGAUUCUGAUUGGGCCUUUUCCUUCAGCCUGCCCGGCACAUUUUGGACAAAACCAAAUUGCCUGCUAAAACGGUGAGGAUUGUACGGCUGAACGACGCAUCGGUUUUCUUGCCGCAAAGAAACAUACGCUGAGCGAAGACUUAUGAGAUAAGACAAAUCUGAAGAGCGAAGAUGCGAAUCAUCCAUGAUGCCUCGCCGUACUGAGCCAACUCUCGCCAGGCGGUCCAUUUUUUAAACCUUCACAACUUCUAAACAGUGUUUGAGCCUGCGAAUCAUCAAGACUCCUCGCAGAAAGCACACCAGAAUACUUCGUCAUUAAAGGCCCCAACUUGACUGAAGACGGAGAAGAAGGACCUGACUUGUCUAAAGUUGACGAAGAAAAAUGAGUGCCAAAAUACUCACCCAACCAACCAUACACAUAGUGGUAAGGGAGCACCGCAGCACGAUCUUCAGUGCUUGCCAAGUUCGAAAUAACGUUCAAGCCGUCGUAAAUAUUGGCUAAAACUGGAAUAGCAAGACUAAAAGAUUCGCCUACAGCCAUCUUGCUAGCAACUUUGAAGACUCCGGGACGAAUGAAGUUGACAUCAUCCUUGGGGAAAACAAACUUACAGAGCCAACAAGCUAAGAGAGCGGCUAAGUAAGAUUCUUCUAAGUGCUCUGACGCCACGCCACAAUCCUCGAAUGCCUUCAACUCAGCAGAAGUACGACGAACAGCUGGACCAAUGACACCAGACGGGUCCGAGUCCCCCUUAGGCCUGGUUGUCUUGUUACGACCGCUUUUCUUCGAAGGCCUCUUGUACUUCAUGGCAUCCCAAUACCAAAAUUGGAUCCAUGAAGAGAUCUUCACGCCUGACUUACCUGGGGCCUCUUGGAAAAGCUUAUGGUAUGCCCCAAACAAAUAACGGCAGCUUGCAGGUAAUCCUCGGCUGUUGCGAUAAGAAAACUCUUCCACACUAGGAACAACAACCUCAUCGUAAAAUUGUCCCUGGAUUGGCAAGCCUCCUAUCUUAUGGAGAUCCCAAAGCGAGAUCGACAUCUCCCCUCGAGCCGUAUGAAGUGUGUUGGUCGCUGAACACCAAUGCUCGAAGAAUGCACGAAUGACGGAAGGAUGUCGGUCAUAACUGAACAGAGAUGCAUAUACAGCAUGAUAAAGUCCCGUGUUGGUAAGCAUAUCUUUAGAACGGCUCAAGACACAUCUUCAAGCCAUUCCCAAUAAAACUCAACAAAGGCGGCUCCUCCAGUAGUCGACAAGGUGCUACUCCAAGCCAUAGCUCCGCUACGGAUACGAUCGCCAAGAAGCUCAAACGAAACCGAAUGAUUGUCACGAACAUGGUGCGAAUGGUUCAAGAUAAGACUCAUCGAUGUGCAUGCCUUUUUCUUUGCAUUUAGUCGAACAGAGUCUACCACAUCCCAAGGUACUUCAGAAGACCACGACUUAAUAUGCAUGGAAUUGUCUUUUGCGGGAAGGGCAAGCGCCUUGGGGCCGGUAAGUGGCGCAUAAAGCUUUAACGUCGUUCCACUAUCCUGUGAAUCGCCUUCCUUUGCAAGAAUGGUGAUAGUGUUGUUUUUAAAACACUUGAGAAACACCAUGACUGCAACAAAAAAGUCAGCCACAAAACUUGAGCAGGGCGGCAAAGAAGGCAGCUACAGGGCGGUCCUUCAAAGCACGCUGCAGUGGCAGAGGAAACCAAAAUGCUACGCAAACUCGCGGCGGAGCCCCGCUGCAGUCUCUUGCACAGCUCCACACGGCAGCGCACCACCGAGGGAAAACUGUGAUCAAAAGGCACUACACGGCAAAACUUAGUUGCAGUCUCUUGUACAGCCCCACACGGCAGCGCACCACCGAGGGAAAACUGUAAUCAAAAGACACUACACGGCAAAACUUCGUUGCAGUCUCUUGUACAAGAACACCCACGUCCUGCUCACCCCGCCACUAACUGCAACCACGGGCAAAAGAACCUUUGUCAAAACAACAAGUACACCCAUAUUAUAUAUAUAUAUGGACACAUUACAUAUAUACGUAUGUGUGUACGUGUGCACGGCUGGUGUGAUGAGACAAAUCAGCAAUCUUCAUAUAUGUGCGCGUGCGGUGAUGGAACAAAAGCAAGGUCAGUGUGUGAACGUGUGUGUGUAUAUAUACACAUGACAAAGCCAUGCAAACAAAGUCUGUGUGUAUGUAUGUAUGUAUGUGAAAUGAAAGUCAAAGUUUUCUGUGUGUGUGUAUAAGGCACAGCAACGAAAUCCCAUAUAUAAAACAUAUAUGCGUACACAGUGAUAAUGACGGGACAAAUCAAUUUCCACAUACAUGUACAUGUGUGCACGGUAUCAAUCACAACCAACUUCCAUAUAUAUGUAUGCAUGCAGAAUGAUGGGACAGCCGCCAGCCAACUUAUAUAUAUAUAUAUAUAUAUAUAUAUAUAUAUAUAUAUAUAUAUAUAUAUAUAUACAUGCAAAGCGACAGGACACUCAACAUAUAUAUAUAUAUAUAUAUAUAUAUAUAUAUAUAUAUAUAUAUAUAUAUAUAUAUAUAUAUAUAUAUAUAUAUGUACGUACAACAUGUCAAAAGCAUCUCAGGGUUAUAUAAAUAUAUAUAUAUAUAUAUAUAUAUAUAUAUAUAUAUUAUAUAUAUAUAUAUAUAAGUGUAAGUAUGUGCGGCAUCCAAGAUGAGACAACUAAUCUCAAGGUUGUGUAUAUAUAUAUAAAUAAGUGUAAGUGUGUGCGGCUCCAGGCUAUAUAUAUAAAGGCUUGCUGUGUGCGGUUCCAGGACAUAUAAUAUAUAUAAACGCCUGCUGCGUGCGGCUCUGGGACAUAUAUAUAUAUAUAUAUAUGCAUGGUGAUGGGUUAUACAUAUAAACGGGACUCACGAAGUAAAAGCUGCAUCCUGCUAGCCGACUGCCUUCUUCUUCCCGUCUGCAGCACUGGUCAUCCCCUCCUCAACGCUUUGCACACCUUAAGCUCCAGCACCGAGAGACUCCCCUUGUCAAGCUCACUUCUGCAGCCUCAGACCACCGUCUCUGUCCAUCAAUGCGAAGCCAACCCGAACCCGUCGUUCGCCGUCAGGAUCCUCUCUGCUGCAUUUCCUUCCAGCACCGAGCUCAGUAGCAGCAAACGAGGAUCCUCCAGGAACAAUAGGCGCACUGUUAGUAGCAUGAGCAACAGAGGAUGCUACAUAAGAAAGCCCAGUCGACGAAGAUGUAGAGCUGAAAGAGGUAGCAAAUACAGAGACUUACCAGCUAGCAGACGCGGGGAACGCAGGAAGCAGUGCACGCAGUCGUGAUCGCAGCCAGGUAGUAGCUGUGUGGUGAAUGUGCAGUGCCCUAUGUGUGUAUGUGUGUGCGUAUGCCUAUGUAUAUAUAUACAACGAUCUCAACGGUUGCAAAAGAAACGGAUCCGCAUACGAUGCAGUGACUGUGUAAACAGCAAUCCGCAUGCAGUGAAGAAUGCAGUACAAUAGCUGUCGCAAACAAUGACCCGCGUGAAGAGAGGAGUGCAGAGAAUAAUGCAGUACAGUAGCUGUGCAAACAGUGAUCUGCGUGAAGAGAGGAGUGCAGAGAAUAAUGCAGUACGGUGACUGUCGCAAACAGUGAUCCGCGUGAAGAGAUGAACGCAGAGAAGAAUGUAGUAUAGUAGCUGUUCAAACAGUGAUCCGUGUGCAGAGAAGAACACAUGAAAAAAAAAAAAAAAAAAAAAAAAAAAAAAAAAAAAAAAAAAUGGUGCAGUGACUGUGCAAAUAAAAAUGGUACAGAGAAGAAUACGAUGCAGCAAGGAAGACCCGUGCUCUCCACUUCGCUUCCCCUUUGAAGAAUCAUGUUCCUAGUUUCUUAAAUAUACAUAAUAAUAAAAAAAAAAAUGAUGAAAGGUGUUUGGGUGCGCAACAUCCAUCAAAACAUAUGUAUACAAAAUAGUGAAAUCUUGGUGUAUGGCACUACUCUAAAAAAAAAAAAAAAAAAAAAAAAAAAAAAAAAAAAAAAAAAAAAAAAAAAAAAAAAAAAAAAAAAAAAAAAAUUG